UUGGUAAAUUUUAUGAUUUUUUUUUCUCUAAUUGUGAUUUGAUUUGAUUUUCGUUUUCUACUUUAUUGAUUUCUAUUAUUUUUUUCGAUUUUUGGUUUUGAGAAAGCCCAAUGAUGGAAAAUCUAUGUAUAUUGAGCGGCUGUGAUGGUUAUAGAUUCAUCCGUUGCCUUUAUGCAUCACCUGAAUAUCAGCGGCAACCGCCAUUCUUUCUCCCUUUCCUUGUCUCCUUCAACAUCACACACUAAAGCACACUUGCACUUUUGCCGCUGAUGUUUAUGGUGAUGUAUGAAAGGCUUCUGAUGAGUUCCAUCACGAUUUAGCUGUCUGUGAUUUUGAAGCUAUGAGAUCUGAGGGCUCUUUUACAGUUUUAUUUCUCUCAAAUAUUCAGUACAGAUACAAUCCCCUUUGUGGGUGUAUAAAUUUGCAUAACCACUAAUUAUUUGUAAUUGCUUGUGUUUUGUAUAAUUAAUGUGAAUUUUUAAAAUAGGGUUCGAGUGAUUUUAAAUGUCUUACAGUUCAUAAACUAAUGAAAUCAAGUUUAUCUGACAUAUAAUGAGCAAAUUACAAAAAAUUUAUUCAAUAAUUAUUAUAUUUAAAUUAUAAUUUUGUUAUUUGACUACUCUUCCAUAAAGCAUAGGAAGAUUUUGCGCACACGACAACGAGAAAAAACUGAUUAUGAUUAAAAAAAUGUUUUGUAUAUUGAAUGGUGUAAAUAAUAUUUAUUAAAUUACGGGUUAUCUCAAACCUUAUAUGAAAUAAUAAAAAAAAAAUCGAUGAUUGAUAUUUUAAAAAACUAAAAGCAUUACUGGAAUCACUCUCUGUCUGCACCUUUUGGUAGCCAUUGGUUUUGCAUCACGACGUUCCAAAGAGUAACGCUGCCGCAACAAGUAGUUUUAAUAGUGAUUCCCAUUUUUGCUACUCUAGCAUCAGUUGGGAGCCUAUCUUAACUCAUCCCAAAAUUUUUUAUGAAACAGAGAGAACGAUGAGCAAGAAGAAAGAAUUUUAAUUUUUUGGAUUGUUACACUAGGAUUUUGAAUUCUUGAUAAUAAUUUUGAAUGGAAUAACGUAUUUUGUGAAAUUUUAAUUUAAUUUUCAGUUUUUCUCCUUAAUUAGUGGAACAAAUAGAUACUAUAAGAUUAUAAAUUGAUUUUAAUGUUUUUUUUCUCUUAAUAAGUGCAAUACUAUAAGAUUAUAAAUUGAUUUUAUACUUUUUUUCUCUUAAUAAGUGCAACAGAGAUAGAAAGUAAUUUAGAAUUUACACUAUGGUAUUUAUGUAAUGUAUACUUGAUAUUUUAUGAGUCACGUCGGGCUAGUCCAUUUUUGGUGUGGACUUAAAAAUAGUCGGUUCAACCUACAAACAUGUGGGCUAGGCUGGAUGGGCCAAACUAUUUUUAAAAAAUUAUAUAUUUUUUAAUUUUAAUCUAAAUUACAAAUUAUAAUUUAAAAAUAUUAUCAUAAAUAUCAAUAAAAUAAUAUCACACGAUGUUAAUGUUACUACUUUUUAAUCAAAUUCACGAAUAAAAUUGUCUUUAUAAAAAUAUUUGUUAAGGUAAGUUACCAUUUUAAAAAGGGAAAAAUGGUCUGAUAUACCCCUCAACUUUGUCAUUUAGAGCUGAUAUACCCCUUGUUAUGAAAGUGACUCAUAUAUACCCCUACUUGUAAACACAUGGCUCUCAUAUACCCUUUUCCUCUAACGGAAAUGAAAAAAAUAAUAAUUUUAAUCUAAAUUUUUAUUAUUUUUUUCUAAAAAAUAUAAUCCCAUAUGAGUAAAUUUAAUCCUCGUCAAACAUAUUUUUUUUUGACUUUUUUUUGUUUCAGUGACUAAUUUAUAAUUAUUAUUUUGAUAAUCAAAUUUAUUUAUGUUUCACUAAUUAAAACUUAUUGUAGAUGACCAAAUUUUUUCUUCGAAUAUAAAAUUAAAUUACAAUACACACAUAAAAAAAUAGUUUAACUUUUUAUUCUUUAAACUAAGGAAUGAAAGAAAAAAGACAAAAUAAGAAUAAGAAAUUCAAAUAAUUAUAAUAAAAGAAGUCAAAAAAUAAUUUAUAUAUGAAAAAAAUUAAAAUAUACCUUGAACUUUGAUAGAAGAAUCAUAUAAACCCCUAAAUAAUUUUUUUAAAAAAAUUAGAAGUAAUAAAUAUAAAUUUAAAACUAAUUUUUUAACUUCCAUUAAAUGAAGGGUAUAUGUGAGCCAUUUUGUAACGGCAGGGGUAUAUGUGAGCCGUUUGUAUAACGGUAAGGGCAUAUAUGAGCCACUUUUAUAACGAGGGGUAUAUCAGCUCCAAAUGACAAAGUUGAGGGGUAUAUCAGACCCUUUUCCCUUUUAAAAAGGGAAAAAUUAUACGGAUAAGCAAACUUAUAUUAUCUAAUUACUCAUCACAGCUAUAGUUUGCUAUAAUUACCACUCGCGACUAACAUUAUACAUUAAUUACGUGGGCUAACUUCGAAUUUGUAUAAUUAGUCAUUUUUGUAUAUGUAUAAUUUCUCAGAAUAUACAAAUAAAUAUGCAUAAUAUACAAGUUUUUAGUCUAUACACAUAUAUAAUUCACCGCUCUCCCACACUCUACCCUCUCUCGCUUGCCUCUCUCCUCUCUCUCCUAGUCACGCUUGCCUCUCUCCUCCCUUUCGCAAUCUCUCUUGCCAUAUAUACAAUUACAUAUGUAUAAUAUACAAUUAUCUAACAAAUAUACAUAUAUAAUUAACCUUUCUCCCACUCUUUUCCCCCUCUCUCUCGUCUCUCUCCUCUCUCUUCCAGUCUCACUCGCCUCUCUCCUCUAAAUAACAUGUAUCUAUAAAUUGUAAUUAUCAAAUUAUAACUAUGAAGAGUAAAUUAUUAUUUUUUUAAGUGGCUAUAUGUGAAAGUUUCCCAUUAAAAAAAUUUAUUAAGUUUUUUUUAAGUAUGAAUAGUUAUAUAGAAAUAUUAACCUAAUUGUUUUGAGUUUAAACUCUCUUUAAUUUUAGGGCAACUUUCACAUAUAGCAAAUAAAAAAUUUAUAUUUGUAUGUUAUAGCAAAAUUUGCAUAAUUGCGCUCCAUAGCAAACAUAGAAAUUGUAUAAUUCGCUAUACAAAUACAGUUGAAGCAAAUUGUAUAAAACGAAGUGUAUAAAACAAGAAAGAGAAGAACACUUUGGCAGAGAACUGUAUAAAAACAAAGUGUAUUAUCAUAAGUGUAUAGAACAGUUAUAUACAAUUUGAAUUUGUAUAAAAUGAGAAAGAGAGAAAGACAAAACAGACUUGACAAGGAAUAUACAAUUGAAUCGAAUUGUAUAAAACAAGAAAGAGAGAAAUUAGAUACAAUUUGAAAAUUGUAUAAAACAAGAAAGAGAGCAAGCAAAAGAAACUGGACAGAGAAGUAUUUUAUUGUAUAAUUAUAAGUGUAUAGGACGAAAAUAUAUGUACUUGCAUGUGUAUAUACAAUUUUCUCGCGCUUUAUACAAACAGAAAACGCAAUUUAUACAUUUCUCUUCUGUUUGUAUAAGUGAGAAAGGCGAGGGUGGCGAGCGAGAUUUGGGAGAGUGGCGACCGAGAUCUAGAAGAGGGGAGAGAGGGGAACAAAAAUAUAUGUAUUUAUACAAUUUUCUCUGCUUUAUACAAUUAGAAACAAUUUUUAUACGCUUGUGUUUUGUAUAAAAAGUGAGGAAGCGAGCGGAGAUUGGAGGAGAAUGUCGAGAGAUAUUUGGGAGAGAGGCCAUGACAAUUUUCUGCAAACGUUUGCUAUGGAGCACAAUUAAAUCAAACCCUAGCUACUCCAUUUAUUUUAGGUUAUUAGUUUGUUAUUAUAUAUAAUUUUUCCUUAAUUUUAUUAUAUUUUUCAAUUAAAUUUUAUUGGCCCACGAUCCGGCCCUACCGAUAUUUCUCAAGCCUCUCAAAUCAACAGACUUAUUCAAGACGGGCUAAAAAGCCUUUUUCUUAAAUGGGUUCCAAAAAUCUUAGCCCAGCAUUACUAAAUUUCGGGUCAGGCCGGCCCAACGGUCCUAGCCCAUAUUGACGGCUCUACAGAGGCUGAUAGGUCUAAGCUCUGAGAGGUGCUGUGGAAAACUCACCUUGAGAAUAAGAACAAUAUUUGAGUGAGUGAACCUUAUAGGCAAGGUAGAUCCACAAAAGUAAGCAUUCAUGGUUUGAGUGAUAUCAGGGCCAAUAAUCGACCAACAACUUGGAAAAAAUUUAGCACUGAAUCCAUCCGGUCCUGGGGCGCUAUCUGGAUCCAAAGAGAAAACGGUUUCUUUGAUCUCUUUGUUAGUAGGAAACGCAGUCGACAACCUAUUGGUGUCAUCUAUAAUAGAGGCUUCAAUGAAAUUCAGUUAUGAGAAAUCAUUCCUAUCAGGAUUCUGGCAAAAAAUGCCUUGAAAGUAUUUCACAGCUGCUUCAGCUACCCCCUUGUUUCCUUUUACCCAUUGCCAAUGUUCAUCUUGGAUCUUGUUGAUUUGAAGUCUUCUUCUUUUGUCUUUCAAACAUUAUGAAAAUAAGAGUUGGUGUCACCCUCAGUAAACUACUUGACUUUUGCCUUUUGUCUCAUGAUAGAAUCUUGAAUUUUAAGAUACUUGCUGUGAUUAGCCUUAUGUGAUGUUCCGCCACAAUUCCAGCCUGAUUUGGCGUCCGAAUAUGAGCAGAAGGAUCUAGAGUUGUGAAGAGGUUUGCAGAGAACUCUAGAACCUUCUAGAUUUCUGGAGAAGACUAGAGAAUUCUCUAGAAUACUUUAGAUACUUUUGAAAGAGAUUAGCAUAUUCUAGAAAGUGUAGAAUUCUCUAGAAUAUGGACUAAAAUGUAAAUAUUUUAGGGACUUGUAGAGUAAUUUUUAUUUACACUUAGACCCUUAGGAGGUAGUAUAAAUAGAAGGGCCUCUCAUUUGUAAAUGCAUCCAACCAAAACAAAAUUGUAAGCAAGUUUUCCAAGUAUAAUACAAGUCUUCUUCCAAAGUUCUUUCUAAGUCAUUCUUUACAUUCUCUUAAUGAUCUAAGUCUUAAAGUCUUACUUGAGCUUACAAGAUCGUGAAAUAUUCGUGAGUAAGUUGUCAAGUGCCGCACGGAGUCUUAGCAAAUACUCUAAGUCCGUGACACUUAACCUUUUUCAAAUUGGUUCUAUUGGUAUCAUUAGUCCCCGCUAGAUUGACUUGUUCAAGAUCCACAAUGUCCUUUUCAAGCUUUUUGGUCUCGUUAUAGAUAUUACCAUAAACUUCUCUAGACCAGUUGCUCAACCUCGAGGCUGUAGUUUUGAGCUUUUGGUGUAUGCUCCACAUUUUGGAUUACCUUGAACCUCAAGUAGGCAAGCUUCCUUGACAACGUCCAGGAAUAACUCAUGUUUUGUCCAGACAUUAAGAAAUUUGAAAUAUUUCUUAUGCUCGUCUUCUUUGUCAUUAAGUUUGAUCAAAAGUGGAACAUGAUGUGAGCAAACCCUUGCCAAGUGAGUGACUGAUGUUUUUCCAAACCAAGAAGCAUUGUAUAACAUCCUGUCCAGCUUUUUCAAACUGUAUUGGGAGCCCCUCUAUUAUUGCUCCAAGUGAAUUUAGCCGCAUCCUGGAUCCCCGAAUCAAUCAUACAGUUGAGGAAGUCAAAACUUUUCCCAAUUUCUAUAAGGAAUGCCGCCUUCUUUUUCAUUAACAGAACCAAUAACAUUAAAGUCACCAACUGCUGUCCAAGGACCUUGGAUUAUUGAGGAUAGAGUUGACUUCAGAGAUCUUUUCUUAGAGUGUCUUCGCACUUAGCAUAAAUAGUAGCAAUGUGGAUCACAUUACCAUUAGGGAGGACAAUUUUGCAAGUUAGUUCAAAAGAUCCAAAUUUUAUUAUUGCUGCUCACUUGUUUUACAUUUUCCAAAUCACAGAUGUAAAAUAAAACCAUAACAGUUGUAUAAAUAUUUAACUAUUGAAAGACAAAUUAAUUCUUGCAUAAUAUUUUCUUAAUUAAUGUUUAUUCAUUUUUUAAUUGACUCACCUAUUAAAAAAAUAAUUAUUGACAUAAUAAGUUAAUUAUGAAGUGAAUAAAUCAAAAUUUUAAGAUUUUAAAAAAGUUUUAUCUUUUUUAAAACAAUUAAUUAAGAGUAUGAUAAGUAAACAAAAUUGUUCUUUCUUGAUUUAUCAAAAUGAACAAGUAAUUUGAAAUAAUUAUCUAUUUUUGGUGUGGAUUAAAAAAUGAUUGGUCCAGGGCUGGCUUGUCGAGCCAACCCACCUUUUAAAAAUAUAUUUUUUAGGACAAAAAAAUAUGCGGUUAAGCAAACUUAUAUUACUUAAUUACUCAUCAUAAUUAUAGUUUGUUAUAAUUAUCGCUCGCGACUAACAUUAUAUAUUAAUUAUGUGGACUGACAUUGAGUUUGUAUAAUCAGCCACAUCAAUCUAUAUUAUAAUUCGACGGAAUAUAUAAAUAUAUAUGUAUAAUAUACAAUUGUCUAAUAUAUAUAUAUAUAUAUAUAUAUAUAUAUAUAUAUAUAGACACACACAAUUCACCUCUCUCUCGCUCUUUCAAUCUCACUCGCCUCUCUCCUCUCUCUCCCAACCUCGCUUGUUUUUUUUUAUACAAAUGCAUAUGUAUAAUACACAUAUUAAUUCACCCCUCUCCCACUGUCAGCCCUCUCUUGCUUGCGUCUCUCCCAAUCUCGCUCGCCUCCCAAUCUCGCUCUCCGCUCUUCUCUAUCCUCUCUCUCCCAAUCUCACUUGCCAUAUAUUCAAGUAGAUAUGUAUAAUAUACAAUUAUCUAACCAAUUUACAUAUAUAAAUCACUUCUCUCUCGCCUCUCUCCUCUCUAUCGCAGUCUCGUUCACCUCUCUAUUCCCUAUUAUACGUAGCCACGAAUUGAAAUUAUUAAACUAUAGCUAUGGAGGAUAAUUAAGCUAUUUUUAGUGGCUAUGUGAAAGUCCCUUUUUAUAAUUAUUAAAUUAAAAUAUAAAUUAUAAUAUAAAAAUAUUGUCAUAAAUAUCGACAAAACAAUUUACAUGAAGUUUUUUAUUAAGUUUUUUCUCAAGCAAAAGUAGAAAUAUAUAAAUAGAAAUAUUUUUUUUUAAUAAAUAGAAAUAUUAACUUAAUUAUUUUGAGUUUGAACUCUAAAAUUUAAUAUUAUAUUAUAUUUUUAAUUAAUUUUUAUUGACCUACGAGCCGACCCUACCGAUAUUUUUGAAGCGCCAUAAAUAGUAGGCUUACUCAGGCCAGGCUAGAAAAUGUUUUUUCUUAAAGGAAAUCUUACAUAAAUGUACAAUAAUAAGAAAAUAUUUACCAUUAUAACAAUUUUUUUCUUCACUUGAUCACUUUUAAUUCAUUUAUAAUACAAGUUUAACAUAUAUUACAAAGAUCAAUUUAUUAUCAUAUACAGUACAAGUUUUAAUGAUGGAUAAUACAUUUAUCACACAUUUUAAUACAAUUAUUAUACAAUGUGUCAAAUUUUUACCAAACAAACAUAAUAUAUUUUGAAAAACAAUUAUGAUUCAUCUAUAUUGCAUAAAUAAUUCACUUUUAAUAGAUUUUGUAGAUAUAACAUAGUAUUGCUAUAAAUGGUAAUAAAUAAAAAGUAUCGCUAAAAUCAUUAAUUAUUUAUUAAAAUGUGUCAAUCGAUGUAAUUUUUCCUUUUUUAAAUGAGUUCCAAAGAUAUUAUUUCAGCCCUAUUAAAUUUUGGGUUAGGUCAGGCCGAUCCAAGAGACAUAAUCCAUAUUGACGACUCUAAAUAGAAGUAUUAUUUUUUUCUCUAAUUAUAUAAAAUUAUGCGUAAUAUAAUGCGAAAAAAUAUAAUAAUUUUAAACAUAAAUCAACUAUAAUUAUAUAGAAAUAAAAAAUAAAAUAAAAUAUAACCAAACUUAUUAGAUAUGCUAAAUAAUUAAUAACAGUUAUAUUGAUGAACAUGAUAUUCUAGUGUUGGCAAAAAUAAUUUUUUGUUUCUACUAGUAUUUUCAAAUAACAGAUUUGUUUUGCUUCACUCAACAACAAAAGUAAAACCAAUACCGUUUCCAUUUAAAUAAAAGGGCAACUUUCAUAUAUAGCAAAUAUAAAAUUCAUAUUUGUAUGUUUUAAUAAAGUUUGCAUAAUUUCGUUUCGUAGCAAACAUAUAAAAGUAUAAUUCGCUAUACAUAUACAGUCGAAACGAAUUGUAUAAAACGAAUUAGAGAUAAACUAUAUACAAUUUGAAUUUGUAUAAAACGAAAAAGAGAGAAAGACAAAAGAAGCUGGGCAGGGGAGUGUUUUUAUUGUAGAAUUAUAAGUGUAUAGGACGAAAAUAUAUAUAUUUACAUAUAUAUUUGCAUGUAUAAAUAUAUAUGCACACAAUUUUCUCUCAAGUUAUACAAACAGAAAUGCAAUUUAUACAUUUCGUUUCUGUUUGUAUAAGUAAGAGAGGCGAGGGUGGCGAGCGAGAUCUGAGAGAGGAACAAAAAUAUAUGUAUUUAUAAAAUUUUCUUUCGAUUUAUACAAAUACAAACACAUUUUACACAUUCGUAUUUGUAUAAAAAGUAACAGAGGCGAGCGAUACUGUCACUAAAAAAGAGUGGCGAACAAGAUUCCACCAAAGAGAGUGUCAAAAAUAGCUAUAUUUUGCUGUAAGGUAUAAGUAAAUCAAAAUACUUAAUUUAAAUUAAUAAUUUAUUAUUAUAUACAAUUCUCACUAAAUAAAGUCACUUAUAUUAAUUUGCGAAAAUACAUUAUUUUCAACAAAAAUACUUUUUUGAAAAAUACGUGUCUCCGCAAUCCCAAACAGGGUUUGUUGAUGUUUGGGGUCAGGGACUUGACGAAGAGCUUCAACAAAAGUUUGAAGUUGAAGCAGAGAAACUGACAAGUAAUGUUGGAGUUGAAGGCAAAGUUUUUGAAGAAAGCAGUGAUUUCUUCCACUCUAAUUGAGCAUCCAUCCCCUGCCAAUCUUCAGUCUACUCGUCUUGCCAUUCAUGUCCGUUAAUUCCCUUUUCUCAAAAUUCAGUUUUUUAUUUUGUGCAUACCCAAUUCAAUCUAACUGUUUCUCCUUUUUUUUUUUUGAGAGCAGAUGAAUGAUGAUAAUGAUUCUUCUUGUUGGGUUUACAUUGCAUCUGGCUGCCGCAUUUAUAAAGUUCUUGUAAGUCCUUUCCAUAAUGUCUUUGUACACGUAUAUAAUGAUGUAUUAUUAUUCAGUCUAGUCCUUUUGCUUUGUCUAUUGAAUUCCAGUAAGCUUAAUUGAGUUGCAAUCAUUCUAAGUGAUUGUGAUUUCAACACUCAUGUCUGAGAUGUCCUCCACACCUAUUUGCGCUUCUUGUUCGGGAGGUAAAUUACAAGCUAAUGGACGAUUCAGAAUUUUCACUAAGGGGCUCAAAAAAUAAAAAUAUAGUGCUUUGAGAUUUCAGUUCGGAACCUAAAAGAUUGAAUUUUGAAACUCCCUAAACAACUAAGCCAGCCUGUAGUCUUGUGUGCAAGGGAUUCCAAGUCUAUAUAUACACUAAAAAAAGAACUUUAUAUACAUAAGUGUAAUAUUUGUCAAGGGUAUUCAGAUGAACACCUUGCCCCCUCCUAGAUCAGACCAUGGCUAUAAAGAGACAGAGAGAUAGAUUGAGGUUGAGGGGAGGAGCUGAAUAAGCUGCUUUGUUAUACCACUUUGUUCUUUGUACUUAUCUGGUCUAUAUAUGAUGAUAAGUUCAUAUUGACUUCACAAACAUGCUUGAAGGCUAUUAGUUGCAUAAACCUAAAUGUGUUGAUAAACAUGUUGGAUUAAGAAGCAACGGAUGUUCAAUUUGUUUUCAUUUUCACUGUACAGAUUCCAAUGGAAAAUUCAUUGCUCAAUCUAGGAAAGGAGGACCUUCUAAUUCCUGAACAAUGUGAGGUACACUUGCCAUUUCUUAUAUCAUGAUGAAAGAUGUUAAGUGUGAAGUAGCUUACUAGUAUUGUUAAUUUGAAGGUUCUAGAAGCUUCAGUGGUCAAUCGUUGCCCGCAUCGAUCAGAAAUCCAAAGUAUAGUGCUAGCUGAAACUGAAAGUAAGAUAUGAAGAUAUUUACCUUUUGAAUUUUUGCAGCCCUUCGCGAUAUUCUGAAAAGCUUGUUGUUAUUAUUUCCUUAUUCUGAAUUAUCUUUUUAAUUAAUAAGAGAGGGAAAGAUAACAUAGAAAUAGUGACAGAGAAGAGGAAAUUUUGGAAAGAAAGACAAAUAGCCUGCUAUAUCAUCAUAUCAUUAAAUCGUAAAUCUUUUGUCGUAUCUUUUUUUAUAUAAGUUGGCAUUGCAUCAUGCGUAUGGUCCUGUAUAUUGAAGGGCUUUCUACCACUUCUUCAAGAACUUGCUGCUAUUGUUCCUACUAACUUCCCUAGUUUUUAGCUGCUCGGUCCUUAUUGCUACUACUGUCCAUUAGUUUGCAUGUAGUUUCUUUUAUGUAUUUGAAGUAGCUAAUCUUUACCUUUCAACAGCUUAAUGAUCUGUCUAGUUCUCUACAGGCUCUGGUUGCUCAAUGCUGGGAAGCGUGGAUUCUUAUGGUCACCUUAUUGUCUCUAGAUUGGAUGCCAAUGGUGACGGUAUCUCUCCUAUUUAUUUCUCAGUACUUAGCUGAACAGUGAUGGAUUCUGUUAAAAAUUAGCAUAAUUUUGGAGUUGAAAUUUUGGUUUACCUCUGUUAAACCUAUUUUUUUUCCAUUUAUAUAGGCGUAAUGCCACAGUUAGUUAAUAACUAAAUUUACCAAUUAUGGGGUCUGAUGUGCUCAUUUAAUAGUUUGGUUUUGCUACUUACAAUUUCACGAAGUAUCUUCAGUAAAGAUGCUAUAUUUAAAUUACUAUUACCUGGCAUAUAAGUGAAAUAGUGUACCAACUUGAUUUGAGAAACUUAUGAUCUUGCUAAUUUGAGUAGAUCUAAGAAAAAUUGUUAUUGACAUGGACCACCCAUGACUUUUACCGAUGAGUUAUUCCCACAUUUACUCUAGCAUGAUAUUUAGGUUACAGCUUGAUGAAUUCCUCAUAUUCUAGAUGUCAACGGGCUUACGUAUUCUGUCUCUCCUCGAGAUUGUGGUGUUGGAGAAGGUAGCUGGGCAGGCCUGUGCUUCAAUCCCACUCAACGAUCCAUGGUAUUUCAUCUCAUAUGUCUCCUAGGUUGGAGUCUGUAAUCAUUAAUGUUGAUGCUUCACAUCUGCAGCUUCUGCCUGUUCACUUUGAAGCAAGUAAUUGUGCCCGUGGGUGCAAAAUAGAGGCAGUUGGUGUGGAGGCGAGGCCUUGUCCUUGUCAGCUGACUAGUUUGCAAUCUAUUUCUUGUUGUGUAUUUACUAUCGUGCUUCAAUGUAUCUUGUGUCCUUUGCCUGAGAUUCUUCCAGAUACACUAGUCUGCGUUUUUUUGACCUCUACCGUUUACUAAGAAAUUUGAAAUGAUGGUAUUGGCUAGCACCCGAAUAUCCUCAUCUCUGAAUGUGCCAGUGCCUGUUUUUAUUUUUUUUGCUCCGUGUGAACUGGCUUACUAAGCUACACAACUUGUUGGUCAGUAUACCUGAUUAAAACAAUGGGUUAUUCUGGUAUUAUAUUGGCUAUUCAAAUGAACUUUAAUGCACCUUCUUUUUUUCCCUGAAACUUGUGAGUUGUGACAGUAACUCUAAGCACUUUUAAGUUGAUGAUUUGAACCUUAAAGGAAAAUGAGACGGUUGAUUUUUUUCUUCUGCACAAUCAUUUUUUUCCCUUUUUAACAUCCUCUCUGCGCGCGCGCGUGUCUUGGAAAGUGUAAGUGUUUCAUUUGUGGCAUAUUUCUUGCCUUCUGCCUGAAUUUCAGUAUUUCUGGCCUUUUCCCUCAGGCAGCUGUGGCUCACAGUUUCUCUAAAACCAUUGAUGUCUAUGACCAAGAUAUUCAUGUCCGCACCUUACGUCCGUAAGUGCUUAUCUUUGCUUCGGAGACGGUAGAUCAUUUACAGUAUAAUCUCAAGCUUUUCAUUUAUUUUUUGCUACUAUGCUUUCCAUUUUUGAGAUACUGUUUAUAUGUAUAGCAGCAAGUCACAAAAAAUCGUACAUCUAGUUCAUAUAUCCUUUCUAGACAGUCUGGACUGUUUUAUUCUCACUUGGAGGCAUUGCUAGACUACUACUACCAUGGAAGCUUUUCUGCUACUUUGGGCCUUUUAAGCAAUGUUGUUAAUAAAAAAGAAAACCAGUAAAACUAUUUCCUGAUGCUGAUUUAAGUACUCGUAACAGAUAUAAACAAAUCUGAAUAAUGGUUUCUGCAAACCUUCUUUUUGUGGAUUAAUUACUGUUUCCAUAAAGACAAUUUGACUGUUCUAUAUUUCUAGAGCUCUUAUAUGCAUGACUUGAGUCCUAAGUUUGCAUCUUUUCCUUUGUGUAGGGAUUUGUGUUGGCAUGUCUUUAGAUCUUAAUAUAUAAACCAAAGAACAAAAGAAAUCAAAAGAAAAUGCUUGGCAAUAGCUAUCGUGUAGAAGAAGGUCCACAAAAGUAUCUAAGAAACAAUUUAUAGAAUUGGUUGUACCUGGUUUUAUGAAAGAUUAUAAUUGACAUUUAUCUUUGAAAAGGGGGCGGGGGGUGGGCGGUUCAAUAAUCAAGGAUUCAAUCAUAAGCCUUCUAUUGUUGAAAACCAUCUCUUUGUUGCUCUGGUAUUAUUGAAAGCCAAAGAUUUAGUGUUAGAGGAAGAGAAUAUUCAAAAUGCUGAGGCACUACUGAAACUGUAAGAUCUAGCCAGGUUGGAAGAAAUAACUUGCGGCAGAAGUCUUGGUGCAUAUGGAUCCCACAAAGGUGAUAGGAACAUAUGGAUCAUUGAUUGAUGGAGGAUUGGCUGAAGAUCAGGAAGCCAUAAAAGAAGAGAUAUGAAGUAAUAAUCUAUUUAAAGAACCUGUCAAAUAGAGACUCUGCUUUGGACAGAAGAUAACCCCAAAUUUUACGAGGAAGAAGAGGACCGGUUCCAAAGAUUUCUAGUGAAUAGGCGGAGGACAAAGCAAUCAAAAUGUGAAGGUAGCUAAGCCCCUAGCCCUAAUGGUCUCACAAUGUCUUUUGACCAUAAUUGGCAGCCCAUAAUUAGGAGGCGCCUUCUGCAUGCAGUCCACAUACCUAAGAAUAAUGAGGUUGAAAAACUUGAGCACUUUAACAGUAGUAAUUCCAAAAAAAAUUAUUUAAAGAAGAGGAUUUUAAGCCUGUCAACCUAGUGGGGAGCUUCCACAAUUCAUCAUUAAGUUGCUUCAAAAUCUCAAAAAUGUUAUGAAGAAGCUCAUGGCUGAUACACAAACAACUUUCAUAAAAAGGGAGUCUAUAGAUUGUAUGCAUUACUGCCCAAAUCACAAAUGAAUGCUUAGAGAGAAGGAGGCAAGUAAAGCUGGGGUAAUCUAUAGAAAAAGGUUUCAAUCAUGUUAAUUGGAGUUCUCUGUUCUGAUAAGAGAAUGGUCUUCACUGAAACGGAUAAACUGCAUCAGUUAGUGCAUUUCUUUGUUAUAAUGAUAGUUGAUGAUAUUACUUUGAUACUAAAGUAAGCCAUGCACUUGACAUUGAUCUGUCACUUUUACAUUGAGAGAGGAAGUGUCAAUUGUUUUGGCCAUCUCUCACCUUACCUUAUAUAGGCUGAUGACAUUCUCAUAAUAUGUGAUACAGAUAAUAGACAGGUUGAGUAUAUAGAAAUCAUCCAUCAUUGGUUUUGGCCUUCUCUAGAUUUUAUAAUUUAUAGAAAACUGGAGAAAAGUUUCCUCUUUCCUGAAGUUCAGAAACUUGAGAACUGGCUGUCAAUUUGGGAAGUAAUAUUGGAUCUUUAUCUAACUAUGUACUUUAGCAUAUGCCUUUGGUGUGACCUUUAAAUGAGUGUACAUCUGUAGUGGAGUCAUUGAAAAUGUAAGGAAGAAGCUGUAAUUGAAAAAGGCAAUCCUUUUGUUAUGUGGGAGACUGACUUUAAUAAACAGUAUGAUGGAUGCUUCCCCAAACCAUGCAAUUAUCUUUAUUCCUAUGCCAGAAUGGAUAGAGGAAGACAGGGCUAGAAGAAAUUUCUUAUGGGAAGAGAACAAAAAGAAAAGUAGUUCUAUCUAGACAGUCUCCAUAUGAAAGCUAUAAUUUAUGUUGGUACCUAAGUUAGUGAGUAUGAGUUGGUUGUUCACAGGUUGCAGUAUGUAGAAGCUUUAUUAUCGUAGAUUGCAUUUUUAACACACGUGGUCUUUCAGAUAACAAAUAUUUAAUUUGUAAUAUUUUUUUUUUGGCUUAAAUAUAUUUGAGGAAUUUAUUCAAAGAAAAAAAAUCACAUUGCAGAUUGUGGCAUCCAUCUUCACUUAUGUUCAUGCAAAAUUUGGACUUAGGUGGUGGAAAUUCUGUAUUAGCAGUUGCAGAAGGUUGCCAGGUAAUGUUUCUAUGUUAUUUUGUUUCUUAUGUUAGAAUCAUGCAGAGAAUGUCUUGUUCUUUACUGAUUCUUUUCAUUCUCUGCACUCCAUACUGGCUUCAGCUGACAAUAUGGGACUUGCGAAUGAAAGAAAAGGGUGGUUGUGUGCGUCGAAUCUGUGGAUCUGUAGGAGAUAACUUGUAUGCAGUCUGUAAUUCUUCAAAAGGUACUAUUGCAGCUGGUGGAGCUGAUCGUACUGUGACUGUCUAUGAUCCUCGCAGGUAGUCUUCUCUUAAGGCUUUACUUUGCUUUUACUGGUUGUUCUAGUGUUUAUCUUACAGUGUGCUUGUGUACUUGAUCAAAUUUCAGAUAACCUGGAAUAUGCCAUGUUAAGUAAUUUGUUCUUGUUUGUUGUCUCAUACAUUUCUCGUCUUGUGUAUUCUUUUGAAAGGAAUAUUGCCAGUUAUAGCUCUAGGAUAUGUUCACGCUUAGAAAUUAUAUUGAAAACUGCAAUUUUCUCAGCUUUCUGUGUUUGCUUCAGAGUCCUGAUGGGUAACAUAGUUUCCGGCAGGUUUGGUUGGGUAAGAGGGUUGAUCUUUUUUUGCAACACACUGAUACAAUAUACAUUUCUAUUACAGAUGGUCAGCAGUGUCGAGAUGGCUAAACUGCUCUAAGUAUGAGGUUAAUCUUGUCCUCCCCCCUCUUACUCUCUCUCUCACUCACACACACACACACACAUAUACACACAUUUAUUUGUAUAUUAGUAGUUGUUUCUGUCAAUAAGGUAUCGAAGGAAUUUCUAAAAAGAAGUCCAGCCAAUAGUAUCCUUGUCUCAAGUGAGGCCACAAUUGAAGUUGUCUGGUCAAAAUUUUCUUUCAUCUCAUUUUUCGUUGCUUAAAUCUCAAGUAACAUUCUUUCUGGGUUCUUUUUCCAUAUCCUUGUUGUGCAUCUUUUCUUUCAUGAUUCUUUUAUUACACCUAUGCUUUGUGUUAUAAUUACUAAAAUGUCUCAUGCUGUUACAGAUAACUGGACUUGCUUUCUCUUCCGUUGAUCCUGAAUAUGUCUAUGUACAAGGCGUUGACUACGAGGUGACUAUUUCACAACUUACCUUUUAUAGUUUUCAUGAAUCUUAAAUAGAGAAUCUGAGUUUCAUCUUUACUCCAGCAUAUAUCCUCCCUUCCAUAAAACGUAGUACUCCAUAGAUCCAAGUCAUCCAACAUUGAUGUAAAAUUUCAGAACAGCUACUAGACGUUUACAUGAAUCUUAUAUAGAGAAUCUGAAUUUCAUCUUUACUCCAUCACAUAUCCCUCUUUCACUAAAACAUAGUAUUACCUAUAUCCAAACUUGACGUAAAACUUCAGCACAGUUACUAGACAUUCCUUGAAAGGAUGUUCAAACUCUUUUUUCGUUAUUCCAACUUGUAACCUCAUUUCCUUUAAACAUAGUUCUUCCUGUUAAAAUCCACAAUUGCUAUAUGCUUUUAACGUUGCAGACAACUCCUACCAAAGUUAGGUACUUUCCCUCUUUCUUUCUCUCCAGGACUCCGAAGUCAAUAUCUCCCCUUACAUGGUAGAUUACAUGUUCAUCUACUAUGAUUACAAUGUUAUUAGUAAAAGCAUAAAGCAAAAAGUAAAUUUCUGAAAAAGUAAAAGGACAAAGCAAACUGUUACAUGUGAUACCUGGUUCUUGCAAUUUAGUUGUUCCCUUCUGCAGAUUUUUUUCCCUUUUCAUCUUUAACAUUACCAUUCGCUAUUGCCAAUUUUGAAAACAUCAGUCUGAACAUAGAGACCCUCGGCGGUCUAUUACCCUCGGGUGUUAUCCAUUUUUUGUAAUUUUGAGGGCCAAAAUGACAAUGUUUAUAACUUGAGAAUUUAAAAGGAUUUGUACCACAUCUAUCUAUGCUUUUAUUUUAAUUCCAGGCUAUACGCGGUGCAUUUGGACUUUUGUCCCUGUGACUCUAUUGUUUGAUAACAAAUUUGAUAUAUACUUCUUAACAGGUCAUCUGUGGACGAUGGCAAGAAAGCAAGAAAAUAUUUUCGUAUCGAGGAGAUUCUAAUUGGCUCGGAUUUAGCAAGGUAAGAACAAAGUUUAAAUGUAGUAUGCUAAUUAUCCGAGCCCAGUUGGCUAGUUUGCUGUAAAUAAUUGGCUCGGAUUUAGCAAGGUAAAAUUUACAUUUGUAUAAGACCUAACAUUCUUGUAAACCAUUCGGGGUGGCCCAGUAGUUUGGGCUUGGGACUUCCAUGUUGGAUGUCUCAAGUUCGAAAUCCCUUGCCAACAAAAACAAGGAGUUUGCCUUUUGGGUCGGGCUUGCCUAGUGCACAUUACCUCUCCUAUGUGGUUUGCGAGCUAUUGCAGGGUUUUACGCACCCAAAAGUAGCGGCUGCGGAUUUCCUCAUCAUAAUCUUGUAAUUUCACCUCCAUUUAAUUCAUCCAAUUGUUAUUUUUUGACAGUGUUCAGACAGGGAUGUCUUGGGGGGUUGGUCCGACUCAGGUAGCUUAUUUGUCGCUGAUAUCCGUGCAGUGAACGGAUUACACCUUCCUGCUGCAACCAGUGUUUUUUAAUUUGAUUUGAUUUUACGGCGGGGCAGGGCGUAUGCCUGUAAGCCCCCAACGUUAAAUUUUAACUUUUGUUGUUUUGAAGUAUUUUUGCUAUAUAUUGGUGUUAUUUAUACUUUAUGUUAUUAUGUUUGAGAUAACCUUACCCGUGUUUUGGAGUUAACGCCUAGCCUACUGUUGUAUAAAACACCUCGCCUCACCUUUAAAUGAACUUGUUUCUCUUCAUCCUGCAUUUUACUCCAUCCUGUACACAAGUCAUGCAACACUCGAGCCAUUUGUUGGUUAACAGCAUCAAUUAUCUUGAUAAGAUUGUCGUUUAAAACUCUGUAUGAAAAAGAUCAAGAGUGCCCCGAAAGCCCCAAAGAACGGAAAUGGAAUUUGAUUUGUGUGGUUCCUUUUUACAUAUUGAAGUAUUGAAUAGUGUUAUAUGAUAUUUAUUGUGCAGAGACAUUACAAAUAAUAGAUAAAUUAAUUGAAUCGCAGCAAUUUAAUUCUCAUAUCAUCAUUUAUUGGAAGAAAAAAGAAGAGAGAAAGCGUUACAUAAGUUUGAAAUGGUGUACUUAUUUACUACAGGUGAAUGAGCCAACACAACAAGUUCUUUCUUUUUCUUGUUUUUGGAAUUUCCUAUCAAGACUUUUGUCAAAAUUAUUCUCUUUGAUUCAAAUUACUAUUAUUUUGUAGACUUUACAUUAAAUAUCUGCUUUGAUAUAUGUUAAUUUAAAGCCAGUCCAAUUUCUUUUAAGUUGUUUCCCCCAGAAGUUCUCAAAUUCAAUGUCUGAAGUUGAGGAUUCUUAGAUCAAACAAAAUUAUAUGAAGUUUGAACUCAUUCAAAUAUCAAGCAUUGUUUGAUACUUUUUAACUUUAGACACAUACGGAAGGUUAAUAUUUGGAGUGUUAACCUCAUUAUUUUCAACUUCAAUUUAGCAAAUUUGAAUACGACUUUCAAGACUAUUAAAAUUUAAAUUUUGAAUCAAUAUAAACAUAAAAUAUUUUUAAUUAAUGAAAUGACUUUUUAUUUUUUACAAUUACAAAUAUUUUGAGAAGAAGUCAUAAAAAAUGACCAAUAUGUUGAAUUGGAGCAAAUUGAAGGAGUCAAUUUAGAUGAAUCUUUCAAAGGUCAAGAUAUGUAAGCAUUGAGGAGACAAGAUCAACUUGCACUAAAGCAAUUUAUUUUCUUCUCAAUUAUUUUUGGACCCUAAAAAAGUUUAUUGAGCUCCAAUAGGGUUGGGUCCACCCCCAAAAUAAAACUUUUGGACAAUACUUAAUAUGGACCUACCUUUAUCUAGACUAACCCCUCCAAUGCCUAUGGAAAUGUACCACCUCUCCACUCCAAAACCCUAACUACCAAAAACAAGGAAAAGAAAUACUACUUUCUCUGUUUCACAAAAAAUAUCCUGAUUUAAUUUGGCAUGAAAUUUCAAAAAAUAAAGAAAAUCUUUGAAUCUUGUGGUUCUAAAUCAAAGUUUUGUUAAAUGUACAAAAAUAUUUUUUAAUUUUGUGGUCCUAAACAUAGCAUGUGAAAAGCAGAAAUUAAAAUUUAACUUAAAAAAAAAGAUAUCAUUUUUUUUACAUCUUUUUUAAACAGACUAAAAAUAAAAGCAUGUCAUUUUUUAAAAAUGGAGAAAGUACUAUAAAUUAAAUAGAUAACUCAGUUGUAAGAGAUUAUUCUUUUUUAAACAGACAAAAAAUGAAAGGAGGUUAUUUUUCUUUUGAAUUAGAGGAAGUACUAUAAAAUUAAGUAGAUAACUAAGUCGUAAGGAUGUGACUUAGUGCUAAUUUUUCUUAUUUAUCCGAGUGAUGGCAUUUCACUCCGUAUAUAGGUCGAUGUCAUGAUUUAAUUGAGGAUCAUUCAAAUUGAUCUGGACACCAAAAUUAUAAGAAAAUGAAUAGGUUACUUAAUUUAUUUCUUUAUUUUUUUAUGUUUCACUAUUCUAAUAAAUGCAAGUUGCUAUCAAGGGUUUUUUUGAUAGUGACAAAAAAUCAGUUUUGGAACAAAACUAGUAAAAAAAUUGGGAUUAGUGAUGGAACUAUAUCCUACUAAUUUUUUAGACUGUGGACCCUGGAGUUCUGGGACUUUGCAAAAUCACAUGCUUUGUGCUUCUUCCUUCUUUAAAGUUUUUUUUGUAUAAAUCUAAUUUAGUAGUAGCUCAACUUUUAAUGACUUUUUUUUGUUCAUUUUUAUUUUCUCAUUGUAUAUAUUAAAAAUAAAUGUUUCAUUUUACUUGUUUAGUUUUUUUUUUAAUCUUAUGUCUAUUUAAUCUUAAUUAUUACUCCAUUCUGUUAAUUACUUCUUUUAAGGAGUCAAAGUCAAAUUGAAUAUGAAUAAAUAAAGAUAAAUAAAUGAAAUGUUACUACUUACUAGUAAAGGCAAAACAAAUAAGAAAAUGAAUUUGAUUUUCAUGGCUAAAAGUUCACUUAAUUAUCUUACUUUUCAAUCCCCUAAAAAGUGGUUUAAGGAUAGGCCAUAUAUUAUGAAUAUAAUAUAAAGGAAACUUUUGGAAAAGUGAAACUUGAAGCACAAGUUUUGGUACUUUUUUUAAUGGAUAUUACUAAAUACUAAUCAAUUAUUAGGAGUCCUAAUUAUUAAUCAAUUAACUCCUGAUUUGAUUGGUUUUCUACAUUUGACUAGUUGAUUUCUAGAGAAAUUAAACACCUCAAAACUUCCCAUAGAUAAAUAGUGGCUAAACACCUAAUAUUUCAAAAUAAAAGGAAAAAAUAUCUUGUUGCAAUAAUAUUUAUAAAAGAAAAAAUAGAAGAUAUUUAUUUCUCCGUGGAUCGCUUGAUCGAUGGAAUAAGAAAUUUCAAAUUUUGAAAGUUAAUUUUUUCAUAUUUAGUGCAAUUUUUUAUAUCAUAAUUAUACCUAUUUCUAUACCAUAUUUUAUAUGGGACAAAAAUUUCAAAAUUACUAUAAUUUUUUUUUUUCGAUGCUUUCUCCCAACAUUUUGUAAGAGAAGUCCAAUUAAACUAAACACAUGAUAUAUAUAUCUCAUUUUUAAUCCAACAUAAUCUAAUAUUUAUCAAUAAAAAUAUAUAUUACACUAAAGAAAAUCCUAUAAUUAUUUAAUUUUUAUAUUAUAAUUUUGAGGAUGACUGGCCAGCAAUCAACCCUUUUUAAAGGGGAUAAGAGAUGCAUAUUGAUACGUCCUCUUAGACAUGUGGAUAUGUUUAAUUAAAAUGCUAUAAUUUUUUUAAUCUAAUAAAUAUUAAUUAAUUGUGAUUCCAUGCUUCUUAAGCUUAUGACAUAUCCCUAUUAUAAUUCUGAUAAUAUUAAAAUAGUUGAGAGGACGGAACACCACAAUAUUAUAUAACAUGACCCCAUCUAAGUUGGCCAUUUUAUUUAAGUAUGACAACAACAACUUAAUAGUUCAAUUAUUCACAAAUUCUUAUGACAUUCUACCAUAUUAUCUUUGGUGAUUGUGAUAGAUUUUUCUAAUAUCUUAAACCAUUUAAAUAUUUUAUACAUUUUUGCGUUGCACGAUGAACUUAAUUAUUAAAAAAAUAUCUUCGAGAAGAAGACCCCAAACCUACUAACUAUAUAAUAUAAAUUCACGAUAUCUACGAUAUAAAUUUCUUUUGUUACAAUCUAUUAUUUGUUUUGAUGUGAUUAAUAAGAUAUGGAUCUUUCAUAUAUCUUAACUUGUAUAAUGUAUAACGCAUGAUGAUAUAUAUAAUGUUAAGAAGAGUUGAACUUUAAAUUAGAGAAAAUAUUCACAUGUUUUAGUAGAGUUAACUGAUAUUCAUUGUUAAUUAAGGAGGAUAGGAAUAUAAUAAAAUUGACUGAUGUAUAGAUAAGUUAAUUCGAAAAUCAUGAUUAUAAAAGAAUAAAUAAAUGACAACUAUGGUGUUUGUUAAAAGUAGGAAAAUAGAAAGUGACAAUAGGUCCCAUUGCUGAAUUCCAUCUUGGAUUUUGAGAUAACUAUGUGAUGUUUAUAUGAAUUGUUCAUAUUGGUUGCUAAGAAAACAUGGAGUAUAAUUAUUAAUUAAGCUACCGAUUAAAGUAAAAUGGGGAUUUUUUCCGAUUAUUCUCAGAAAAUGGUUUGUCUCAUACCUUUUUUCCCUUUUAAACUCUCUAAAGAUGCACCUAUAUUAGUUUUUAAAAGGGCUAACUUUCACAUAUAGCAAAAAAAAAAUUCAUAUUUGUAUGCUAUAGCAAAGUUUGCAUAAUUGCGCUCCAUAGCAAACAUAAAACUGUAUAAUUCGCUAUACAUAUACAAUUGUAUAAUUCGCUGGCCUAAAUUGUAUAAUUCGCUGGCCUAUUUCGCUGCAAUUAUAUAAUUUGCUUUGCAUACAGUUGAAUCGAUUUAAAAUGUGUGUAUAUUGCAUAAUUAUAAGUGUAUAGCAAGAAGAUAUAUGUUUUUCUCGCUUUAUACAAAAACAGAAACACAAUAUAUACACUUCUGUUGUAUAAAGCUAGAGAAAAUUGUAUUUCACUGCAAUUGUAUAAUUCGCAAUUGUAUAUUCGUUGGCCUUUUUCUCUGCAAUAUUUGAAGUAAAAUGUUUGUAAAUUGUAUAAUUAAGUGUAUAGCACGAAGAUAUAUAUUUUUGCAUGUGUAUAUACAAUUUUCUCUCGCUUUAUACAAAACAGAAAUAGAAUUAUACACUUCUGUGUAUAAAGCGAGAGAGGCGAGCGAGAUUUCUGAGAGAGAGACGCUGGCAAAUUUUAGAUAACGUAUGCUAUGGAGCACAACUAAAUCAAACCCUAGCUAUUUCAUUUAUUUUAGGUUAUUAGUUUGCUAUUAUAUAAAAUUUCUCAAUAAUAUGAAUUGGAUAUUUAAUUAAUGAUAAUUAGUUAAGUGUAUGUGUUUUUACACGUGUAAAUCAUAUUAAUUAAUAAUAAUUAUAUAUGUAUGAAAUAAACGCAGUUUAUGAUUACUUGCAGUUUUGGAUUUGUUAUUUAUGUUUAGUUAAGAUUUGUUAGUUAGUUAGGCUCAUAGUCCUAAUUUACUUUGGUCGUUGUUAGUAUUAUGACUUAUGAGUUUCUAAUUCUAGUUUACUAUGGUUGUUAGUAUUAUAAAUAAAAGUAACUUAUUACAUACACUCGAUGUGUAGAGAGAUACACUCGAUGUACAAAAAUACAAGAGUUAUUGAGGUUAUUUAAUAACUCUUCUACCUCCUAUUUGUUGAUUAAUAGAUUUCUUCUAUAUAGAGGGUGUUUGGUACGAAGGAAAAUGAUUUUCUACAAAAUAUUUUUCUAAACCUGAAAAAUAAGUAGAUUUUGGACUUAUUUUUUCAUGUUUGGUUGUUGAGUAGAAAAUAUUUUUUUGAAAAUGAUUUUUAGUGUUUGAUUUAUAAAUGAAAAAUGUUUUAAUAAACAUAUUUUAUUUUUACUAGAGUAGAAAAUAAUUUCUGAAAUUUAACAUAUUUUUUAAAAACAAAAUUAUUUUUUUGGGGGGUGGGGGUGGGGGCAGGGGGAGAGGGGAGGGGGAGGAGUGGAAAAAAAAUUGAACUUGAUAAUAAUUUUUAAAAAAAAAUUGGGGAGGGGGGUAGGAGUUUAAAAAUAAAAAUUCAAAGUUGAAAAUAUUUUUAAAAAGCAAAAUUAUUCUUUUGGGGAAAGGGGGGGGGGGCUGGCCGAUGGUGGGUGGGUGGGUGAAGGGUUAGGGACCGGGUGAAAAAAUAAAAUUUUGAAAUUGAAAAUAUCUUUUAAAAAUUGAUAUUUUUUUUCAAAAAAAAUGUAAUUUGAAAUUAGAGGAGAGUUUUGGAAAAUGUUUUCCAUAAUUUUUUAAGGAAAAUCAUUUUCCUUAAUUUUGAGAAUAAUGAAUUGAUUUUAAAAAAAAUUUCAAAUUUUUUGUCCCAACCAAAUAUUAAAAAAUUGAAAAAUAUUUUCCAGAACACACUCAAAAAAUCAUUUUUUGGGGUUUUCACUCGUGCAUAUAUUACUGCCAUGAGUAAUUUAUUUCUUUCAUAUUGGCUUGUGUGUCUUGAUAAAAACUUCGUGUGAGAUCUGACAUUUACAAAAGAAUAUGAGUUAGAGGUGGCUCAAUGCCUUUAAAGAUGAGGCAUACAUUUUAAUCUCUAAAAUUGAAGGGGUAAUUUUUUAGUUGUAAUAAAUUUAUUUUAAGUUUUUUUUAACAAAAUAAAUAAAUAAAUAAUGUUUUAAUUUGUUUUGAAACAUUAAAGAGUGUUUCUUUUUCAUGGAUCAAGUUUUAAAUUUAACUUUCACAUGGUAUAUUUAAAAUCACAAGAUUAUAUAUAUAUAUAUUCAGUUUAACAUUAUAAAAAAAUAAUAUUUUUAUUAAAAAGGAAAAAAUAACCUGAACAUCAUAUAUCUGCUAUAUGAGUAUUUCAUAUUUACCUAAAUGCCCUAUUAUUUCUUUUUGUGUUUGAUGGCAAAAAUAAUUUUGGAGUUGAUAUUACAUAUGAAUAUUUUUUUCAAAAUUGUUCAAUGGUCCAUUAUUAAUAUUGGAUUAGUUGAAAUGGAAUUAUAAGACAUAAUUAUAUUUACGUGGUGUUAUGGAUGUGAAGAGAGAAACUUCAACAACUUUGGAAAUAAUUUGAAUUCGCUCAUAUGAAACCAAUAUAAUUAAUUAAAUAUUUAGAUUCAAAGAUGUCGAUAGUCUAAAAAUUUAGAUCCAAAGAUAUUGUCGCUGGUUUAAGAAUAGAUUAGUAUUAGAAGAAAGUAUUAGAGAUUCAAAGAUAUUGUUGAUGGUCUAAGAAUGAAUAAAAUAGUAUUAAAAGAAAGUAUUAGGAUAAGUUAAAUUUAACUUCUCUCAAGUUAAAGAGUUAAAGAUUUUCAGACCAAAAAGAAUAGACGUUGAGUCUAUGGCAAAUCUGAAUAUUUUAAAGCUUGGUGAUCUAAAUGGUAAAUUUACCAAUCUCUUAUAUCUAAAAUUAUUUCAAAACGAAAAUAACAAUAAUAAUAUAUCUAGUGAAAUUUCACAAAGUUAAAACUGAGCCAAAGUAAAAAAAUGAGUAAAGUAGAGUAUACAUAAAUUUUAUUACUCCCUCAUGAAUAUAGAAGUUGUUUACGGGAAACCCUUGAUUUAAGUGUACCAAACUAAAGUGUAAAAUUUACCAGAGAAAAACAACGACAACAACAAAAUAAAUGGGAAAACAUAAAGCAAUAACAACACAAGACCACUCACGGCCCUAAACCUCACAAGGAUAAGAUAACACUCUACGACACCUACUAAUCUUGUACAUAAUACACAAUUAAUCACCUCUUCUUUAUACUUUUUCGGUCUUCAAAAUCUUGUAUUGUGCACUUGACCAAAUAAAUCAAGUUAUUUAUAGAAGGAUAAGUAUAUUACCUGUGUGAAGCUCUAUUUAUUUUUUGACACAUGAAUAAGUGGGUCAUUUAUGUACUGCAAAAACUUUUUACAUUUAACAAGAAAGAGAAUAUACUUACACAUAAAUUGAGUUGAAAAAAUAUAAAAAAUGCAAGAAAAAUUAUGUGUAUUUGCUACUUUUUUUUAAUCAUUAUUAAUAUUAUAUUAGUUUGUGGAAUUAUAGUCUUAUAAAGGAUAUAUUGUUGUUAUUGUAGUUGUAUAUUAGUUUCACAAAUUUAUUUUGAUAUCAUAUUAUUCUGUGUAUUCAUGUUGUGUUUUUUUUUAAAAAAAAACUUUUAUAAUUUUUGUGAUUUUUAAAUGUAGUCACUUUAAUUUAGUUGUUAUAAUUUGAAAUGUCCAUUGUUACCUUAUUUUUAAAUUAGAACUUCUAAAGGAAAAUAAAAAAAAGUUAAUUAUAUUAUUAUUAUUAUUAUGGGGGUGAUUGUUUAAAAUAAAAUAUCGCUACUCAAAGAAAUAGUUUUUGAAAAGUUUAAACUUCGUUUAAGUUAGUAAUUUUAAUGAAUAGUCUAUACAUAUUAAUUAUGUUGGUACUUGCAAAUUUAGAACUUAAAACAUCAGGUGGAUGAUAAUUAAUAGGCAGAAAGUACAGAAAGUGGUAUCAUAAUUCUUGGUGACUUAUAUAACUAAACGUAUUCUAUUCAUCUCCUAAUUACCUUACCAAUUUUCAAAAUGAUUAUUCAUAUUCUUGACAAUUUUUUUGUGGAAGAAAUUCUACACACACACACAUAUAUAUGUGGUGUUUUCUCCUUGAGUUGAAUAAAAAAAAGGAUGCUGAGAAUUAUAUUGUGUUUAUAUUAGAGGUUAGCAAGUAUAGUGAUGAAGAUUAAAGCGAGAUAAGAAAGAAAUUAUAUAUCGAAUGAAAGUGUUGUUUUGAUGGAGCUUUAAAUUUUCGACUAAUCUAAAGUUAUUUGAGUUAUGCAUAUACACUAUUAUAUUCUUAAGUGGAUAAGUCAAAAUAAUAUUACUGUCUACUCGAUUGAUAAAUAUUAUAUUAUAAUAAAUUUAAAUAUUUUUUUAAAAAAAUUGUUUCAAUCCAAAUACUUAUUUUAUUUUUUUAAUAAUAACUUUCUAAAAUUUAUAACUCAUUCAUCUAAUACAUUACAUUUAUUAAAUAAAUAUAUCAUUUAAAUUAAAAUUAUUAAAUUUUAACAAAUUCGUAACUGACUCAAUUGCAUUUGACAUUAUCAAACUCAAGAAAAUGGUAGAAUUCUAGAGAAGUCUAGCGGACCCAGUCCGUCUUACGCCCCAAUAAAGACAUAUCUCUAUACUUCUUUGACAACUGACAACACUCACGCUUUCACCAUACUUUUUGGGUCCAAAUUAAUUAAUAUUGUUUAAAAUUAAUAUAAAGAUAUUAUGAUAAUAAAUAUACAUUUUUUUAUAAUAUUUGUAACUUGCAUUAUUUUAUAUUUUUUAAAAUAUAUAAUUUCUGAAAAAUUUAAAAUAUUAAGUUGAGUUAGGACAGAGGAAGUAAAAUACAAGUUUUAUGCAUUUAUUUGAUUUGACAAAACAUGUGACGUAAGUAUUUUCACUAUCGUUGUAUUAUAGUGAUGAAUACUUGGUCUUCUGCUUGUUCAUCCACGAAGACCUCUUCUUCUUUUUUUUUUUGGGGAUUUAAAAGAAAUGGAUUAAUUAAUUUCCUAUUUUAUAUAUUAUUUUUAGUACAAAAUGUACUUUUAAUUUGAGUGCUACAUAUAGUAGUGACGUACACUUGAGAAAAGAAACGGGUAGAUGAUGAUAAUAAGAACGAGCGCCGCGCUAAGACAGGAAGAAUAUGUCAUGUUAAAGAGUGAAGAAUAAUUUUCGUUUUAUGUAAAUUACGUUUUGAGGUAAUGCUGAAUUUUUUUUUAAAAAAAAUUACUGAUUUAGAUUAUAAUAUGGUUAUAUUAUUUAUACAAUUAAAUUUGAAGAAAAAUUAUCCAAUCAACAUUUUAAAUAUUUUACUUUUUGAUACAUUUGUCAUUUCAGAUAAGUUUUACACAUAAACUAAUCGAUUUACUUGCUAUUACAAAUUUAGAAUUUAUCAAGUUUGAGGCAGAAUAACGUAACUAAUUUAAUUUGAAGGGAAGAAUAUGCUAUUCUCUCUGAGAUUAAUACUAUUUUAAGGUAUUAGAUUCAAUUUUGUUAAUGGUAAAUUAAAUAAUCUCAUUUCUUGAUUAAAAAAAUGAAUUUGAUUUUUAUCUCAAUUACAUGAUGACUAACAUGUAAGACUCUCUCUCGUUUGAGACGUAAGAUAAUCAAUUAGGUUUCUAUUUUUUUUUUCAAUUAGAAGCCAAACAUGUCACUAUUAGAAUAUAUUUAGUUAUGUAAUUUCUUAAUUAAGGUAAAAUAAGAUGAUAACGUUGAGUGGAAUAAUUAGAAAUAUUAACACCUGUAAUUCUCUAGAAAUAUAUAUAUAUUUCUUAAUCAUGUUUAUUCAAUAUUACCUCUCCUGUUCAGUUUAGUCGUAAGUUGUAAUGGUACAUGUUACUCUUAAAAAAUAAUUAAUUUUGUUAAAUUCUUAAAUUAUGUUAUGCAUUUUUUAGUUUCAAUUUAAUGCUACUAAUUAUUUUCAUCAUAUUAAUCUUUUUAAAUAUUUAUUUGGUAAGGGUAAGGUCAAAACUAAUAUACAAUUAAUUAUUACUUUUUAUUUAAAUUGUUAUUUUAGGUCUUUCAUGUUUAUUAAAAAAAAAUUACUAUAGAAAAAAGGUGUAAUUUACCAAGUUAUUCAUAUUCUUACUAAUUUUACCUUUAUAGAUACUUUCUUUGUUUCAAAUUUAAUGACAAUGUUUGACUUGAUAAUUAUUUUAUAAAAAAAUAAAAGGCUUUUAAAAUUUAUAAUUUAAAAAUAGCUUUAGAUAUUUAUUUGAUUCUAAAGUGAAAUUUGAUAAUUUUUGGGACAAAUUAAAAUGAAAUAUGCGACUGUAUAAGUUAGGAUCAAGGCAAAAGUACAGAUUAAAAUAUAGUUCCUAGGUUACACGAAAACUUAACUAAAUAGCAAUACAUUCAAAAGAAAACAAUUAUUUAUAUGAUUCUUUUAUUAUGUAAAAUAUCGCUUAUUUAAAUCAAAAUAAAAUAGUAAAAAUGUCACUUUUAAUCUAAAAAAUCGAAUAAGAGGAAUCGAAUACUUCUAUAAUAUAAAGAAUAUAAUUUGAAAAUAAUUCUCAAUGAUACUCCUGAAUCCUUAAACUAACUAUUUUGGAAUAAAAUGAUAAUGAAAAUAACACAUGAGUAUGUCACAAUUUUUUUAUAUCAAUAAGCAUGACGAUUAAGAUGGAUCGAAAGAAUACUCUUCUCAUUUUAAGAAAAUGAUAUUUAAUUUAAAAAUUAAAAAUAAUUUUUUUUGAUACCGCAUCUUUCAACAUAUUUUUAGAAAAUAAUUAUGAAAUGUAUGCCUAACUACAUUUCUAAUAUCUAUUAUCUUAGAUUAUAUAAUAUGUUUCACAAGACUCUGUCAGCUGAGGUGACCAAAAACGUUCACCCAAAUAGGACAUAUUAGACAUUUAAUUUAAUCUCGGCCCUUAAAUCAAACAAAUAAAGUAAAUCCAAUGGAUAAAAGUCAAUAUUGUAGAUUAUUCUUUUUGAAAAAUUUAUGUUACACGUUCUUACAUUGGCCCAUCUAAAUUGAACUUCAUACGCGUUCCUUGCGUGUGAUAGUACGUGUUUACUUGAAAAUUUAAAUCAAAAUAUUUAUUUACGUCCUAAUUAAUGAUACUUAGCCCUCAAUUUGGAUAUAUUCCCUCUGUUUCUGUUUAUUUGUUCAUAUUUCUUCUUUUAAAUGUCCUUAUUUACUUGUCCAUUUUGAUAAAUUAAGAAAGGACAAUUUUUUUUUCUAUUAUACACUUAUUUAAAUUUCUUGAAAAUUUCAUAGUUUUAAUUCAUCAUCCUUAUUGAAACCAUAUUGAAUAAGGGUAAGAUUGUAACUUUCCUAUGUUAAUUAUUGUUAUCUUAAUAUGUAUGACUUUUAUAAAGUGGACAACUAAAUAGGAACAGAGGGAGUAAAUAAUUUUGAGAUUCUAAAGUUGUUUCUGGAUAUGCAUGUUAUUUGAAAAAAAAAAAAUUCGUGAGUAAAAAAUUUCUAAUAUUCAAAAAUUUGUCUCAAUCAAUUUUUAAAAAUUUGAAAAUAUUUAAAAUUUUAACUAUAUUUUAUAAUUAAAUAGAUGUUGAAAGAUGAAUUUUCCAAUAUUUUAUUUAAAGUUUAUAAGUUAUAAUCAGCCACUAAUUUAAAGAAUAUUUAUUUAAGUUUAUAAAUCAAUCAAGUUUGGAUUAUAAAUAUUUUUAAAAAAUUUAUCUAUGCGUAUGAAAAGUACCAUAAAUGCUUAUUAACCAAAUCAGCUCAACUGGUGCAUUUCAACUUUCGAGAACUUUUAAUUUAUUAUUUAUCUUUUUUUUUAAUUUGAUAUAUCCAUCGUAUCUCAUUUUUUCUUUUUUAACAAAGAUAUAAUUUUUUUUUUAUGUAAAAUUACAAAAGCUUUAGCAAAAAUAAUUCAUUGAAUUUCCAUUUAAGUUGGUGGGUACCUUUUUGAGAAUUUACAAUUUUUACAAUUAUUGAAAUUUCUCUUUCAUCCUUUUUUUUUUUUUUAUAUAUAAAAAAAUAAAAUAAAAUUCCAACAAACCCAUAUACGCGGUGGAAAUUGAGCAGAAUAUAAGGGCGUUUUCCUGCUGUUAGGGUUCCCAAAAAAAUCCUCUCUCUUUGCCUUUGUAGACUUUGUCUUCUUUCUUCAUAAUUCAUUGAUUUUUUCUUAAUCAAUCUUUUCGUUUGCAUUUGAUUGUUGAUAAUUUGGAGAUUUUAAAAGCCAAUUUAAGUUUUUCAUUGCUUUUCUGGGUUUGAUCUCAAUUUCGCGUUUUGAGAUUUCAAAUUUUCAAUUUUGGUUUUUUUUUUGAGUGUUUCAUGUGAAAAAAAGAGUAAUCUAGAAAUGCCAGUUACAGAUUAUCAAGGAGCAUCUGCAUCUUUCACAAAUUUUGGGAGAUCUCUUUUGAGUAUGCGUCGAGAUCAGGUGCAUUCCAUGGAAGCUGCUCAUGAGGCGACUAGUCAAGAGAUUGAACUCGAAGCUUUCCAGAAGCAAGUGGCUGAGCGUUUUAAUGAAUUAUCUUCUGUUGAUUCUGAUCAAUUGCUUUCGGUUCCCUGGAUCCGUAAGCUGUUGGAUGUGUUCCUCUGUUGCCAGGAGCAAUUCAGGUCUAUUUUGUUCAACAACACUGCUAAUUUGAACAAACCUCCUAUGGACAGAUACGUCACUGAAUAUUUCGAUAGGAGUGUGAAGGGAUUGGAUGUUUGUAACGCGAUAAGGGAUGGAAUUGAGCAGAUAAAGCAGUGGCAGAAGCAGUUGGAGAUUGUUCUGUGUGCAUUGGAAAAUCAGAGGUGUGUUGGUGAAGGUCAAUUUCGUCGUGCUAAGAAGGCUUUGAUUGAUUUUGCAAUUGGUAUGCUUGAUGAGAAGGAGUCUAAUACAUCUGUGGCUCAUAGAAACAGGUCAUUUGGCCGAAACAAUACUCAGAAUGAUCAUAAAUCUUUAGGCCAUUUUAGAUCAUUGUCAUGGAGUGUUUCUAGAAAUUGGUCUGCUGCUAGGCAGCUUCAAGCAAUUGGUAACAACUUAGUUGCUCCAAAAAAUAACGAAAUUGCUGCUACCAAUGGAUUAGCGUUGGCUGUUUUCACAAUGAGUUAUGUGUUAUACUUUGUAAUGUGGGCACUUGUGGCAGCAAUACCAUGCCAGGACCGUGGGUUGCAGACCCAUUUUUAUGUGACUAGGCAAUUCGUUUGGGCCGUCCCAAUCCUAUCACUCCAUGAAAGGAUUUUGGAGGAAUCGAAGAAGAGGGAUCGUAGAAAUGCUUGUGGAUUGUUGAAGGAGAUUCAUGAGAUGGAGAAAUGCGCUCAUCAUAUGAAUGAAUUGAUCGAUACGGUUCAUUUUCCAAUCACAGAGGAAAAAGAUGGAGAAGUGAAGCUAAGAGUUCAUGAACUUGGGCUUGUUUAUGAUGGUUUAAAGAAUGGAUUAGACCCUUUAGAGCGCCAGGUUAGGGAAGUAUUCCAUCGAAUUGUUCGGAGCAGGACUGAAGGCCUCGACUCAAUCGGACGAGGGAAUCAUGAGUGAAACAAUUGUUGGGAACCCAUCAAUUUAGAAUAUGAUAUAUAGAUUUUCCCUUUUCAGUUCUUUUCUUUUUUGGACCUUUUUUAGAUGAGGGAGAAUGGUUAAUGGUGCCAGAAAAAUAAGUAGUUUAAAGAGGUGAAAAUAAUGUAUUCUCACUUCAUAUUUGUAAAGAAAUUUAGGGAAAAAAUGGAUCUUUGAUUCAUUUUUGGUGAUAAUCAUCUUGUUUGGGAUUGUAUAAUCACUUAUGACUUAAGUUUGCUUUUCUAACUCUUUAGCUGGGUUUCCUUUUUCAGUUUCUUUUAGUUGUUGUUGCUUGCAAUCUUGGUGUAAGAGACUCUGUAUGCUUCACUUACGAGAUUACAUUGUUUGUCGUUAUUGAAUUAGAAUUUAAUUAUUAUGAAGCUUAGAAAAUGAGUUUUACAGUAUAAAGGAAUGUCAUUGACUGUUCAGUUAACAUUGUAGUGAUUUUCUGUCUCUGUUCAUCACUUGACCAUUCAGCCUCUGGAAUGGUCAUUUUUAUAUUGAGAUUCAUUUUAUCCCAAAAAACAUUGAUACUUUUGGAGUUGGCUUUGUUGGUCCUUUUUUGUUCUGACAUUAGAGCUGGCUUGCUGUUUUCUACAUUUUCUCAAGUAUCUUCCAUGAAAAAUUUUAAACAAUUCUUCAGCAUGUGAUUUUGGUCAAAAUUCUGGUUUCUUGUUGACUUGGACAUUGUUUUUAUUUAUGGAACCCACGUUUGUUAAUUCUCCUAUGUGAAUAAAUGAGUCAGGUAAGACUAGCAUGACUUUCUUUUCUUAUUCUUUUUUUUUUUUGUCAAAUGAACCCCGGUAGGGAAUGCUUUAGCUCAAUGCGAGAGUUUUUUAUUUGAAUUUAAACGAGCAAUUUUUUCAUAUAGUAAAUACUAAUAAAUAUAAUUAUAUAUAAUUCGUUAUACAUAUAUAAAAAAAUCAAUUGUAUAAUUUGUUAUAUAUAUACGAAAGAAAGCAAUUGUAUACAAAUCAAUUGUAUAAUUUGUAUAUGUAUUAAACGAGAAAUAGAGAAAGACAAAAAAAUAUUGAGCAGGAGAAUAUUUGUAUUGUAUAAUUAUAAAUGUAUAGGACGAACAUAUAUGUAUUUGGAAAUGUAUAUACUAUUUUCUCUCGCUUUAUACAAACAGAAACACAAUUUAUACAUUUUGUUUCUAUUUGUAUAAGCUAUGGAAGCGAACAAGAUCUGAGAGAGUGGCGAGAGAGAUCUGGGAGAGGGGAACGAAAAAAUAUAUGUAUAUAUAUAUUUUUUUUCUCGCUUUAUACAAACAGAAACACAUUUUAUACACUUGUGUUUGUAUAAAAGUGAGAGGGAGCAAGCGAGAGAGGGAGAGUGGCGAGCGAGAGUUUGAGGGAGAGAGGUGAUUGACAAACAAUUUGCUAUAGGUCACAACUAAAUCAAAGUGUGGUUAUAACAUUUAAUUUGAUUUAUUAGUUUAUCAUUAUAUAAAAAUUUUCCAAUUUAAAUUUAGUUGGAUUUCAAUAUAGAUUUUAAACAUCAGAUGGAAAACCAAAAGAAAAUGUAUUGGGACAAUUUCCGAAGUUAUAUACAUUGACAAGGUAAAGAAUUUACACUAUCAAUGCAGUCAAAUUCAGGCAUUUCAGUUCUUGGUCGUUCAACAACCUUUAGGCCGUUUGGCCAUAGAUUUAUCAAAUAAUAUUUGGGAAAAAAUUUGGCAAAUAAUGUUUGUUCAUCCAAUUUGUCAUUAUUUUGACAAAUAUCCCAAAUUUUCAAAUACUAGUUUUUUUUAGUAUUUGGGUCAAAUCUCGGAUCUUUUAAAAAUUAAAAUUUUAUCCCAAACUUUUAUCUUUUACAAAAACAUUCUCUAUAGUAGUUGUUUGCGUUGUAUUACAUAAUUUUUUACGUGAACACCAAAAUGGGUGAUGAAAUAUAUAGUGAAUAUUAAAUAAUGAUAUGAUUGUUGAUGAAAAUGAUGAAAAAUUAGCUCAAGCUAACAAAAUCAUGUGUUUCGUCUACUUCACGAUGUAUGUAAUGAUGUUUGUUGCACUCACUCCAAAUUACCACAUUGCUCUAGUGUCAUGAACACUAUUUGUUAUUGUUGUAACAAACAUUCAAUUGACUUGUAAUACAAACUUAUAGUUAGUUUUGAUAGUUUUUAAAACUUACGAGUAUAAAUCAUAUUUUUUAAAAAAAGAUGAAAUAUAUUUUCCAAAUCUUAUGGCCAAACACAUAGUGAAAUUUCACCUAAAUUUUUAGUUAAAUAAUAUUUGUAAAAAAUAUUCAAAAAUUUAUGACCAAACGCUAACUUAAUAUGGAGUUAUUAGUUUCUAAGAUUCAAAAAUUGUGAUGUUAAGUCUAUAUAUUUAUGUGUUAUAUACUACUUUCUAAUAUAAAAAUAGUGUAAUUUGGGUCAAGGACAAUGGGGGCUUCAAAUAGGUUAUUAUUCUAUUGUCAAGAUAACAAUAUCAGACUUGAUAUACAAACUUACUUGUUCUAGUAAAUCACCUUUUAAUUAUAAAACAAACUGUAUACAUUACCGUAAAAUGUUUAUGUCUGCGUUAAGUGUACACAUAUCUUACUUCUAUUUCUGAGGUAGAAAGAAAUUUUUUUUUAAUUGAUUCUCAGCUCAAGAUAUAAUAUUCUUGAAAAGAGGAAGUAUGGAAGUAUAAAAAACAACAAAUAAUAACAAAAAAAAAAACAGCUAGUAAUAGAACAAAAACUUCAACAACAUGAUAUGAUAAUUGAGGUACAAGUAACAAAGUGUGAAGAACAAGAAACUACAUGAGCAAUAUUGACUACUAUAUAAACGAUCUUUUUUUAGUAACCUUUUGUUCUAAUUCGUAUUCUCCACACCUUCCUACACUAUAAUGUAUAAAACUGAAACUUUUUCCAACAAAUCUUGUUAGUUUGUUAAUAUGAUCCAAACACCAGAAACAAACAAAAGGGGCAUCUUAAAAAAAAAACUUAAUCAAUCUCACAUGUUUGAUUAAUUUGUCAAAGCAUUGAGAACAUGGUAAAAAAAAUUGAACUCAACCCCUCCUACCCCCUACCCCACACCCUAAACCCCUUCUAGAUUUUGAUAUUUUUAUGGCCAGCUAAUUGCUCAUUUUGAGAACUGGAUCAUAGCUGGCAUGUUUGUUAACAUCAUCAAUAAGUUCAAAAAUCAAGAUUUGACAUUAUGCAAUAUAGUAGUAGCUACUACCAAUUGGAUAAUGAGAGGCCACUAAGUGGUAAGAGAUAUUUGAGGCAUUCUUUGAAUGAAUCUACAAGUCUUUUGAAGGGUGUGCUUUAAUUGCCAUAUAUAAUAAAUAUAUGUUGCAUAUUAGCUGGCUGAAUAUAUAUAAUAUUAUGGCAGGCAACAAAGAAAGUGGACCUCAACAUUUUUUCCAAUAUCUAGGACAAGUUCUAUAUUAAUGGCUUCUAUCUAUAGGACAAAAAUGAAGUAACUGCCAAAUUAUUGCUUUUUGACAUUAUUAAAGUUUUAACCAUAUUGACCUCAAUGCCAGAUUAUGUUUCUCUUUUUUCAAUCGAUAUUUCAGAAGCAGUCUCUUUAAAUCACUAGUAGGAAUAAGAUUUAUGCAUGUUCUAUCUUUUUCAGAUUUAAUUUUGUAAAAUUAUACUAAAUAUAUUAUUGUUAUUUGAUGUUUAUUGUUUUAUAACGCUUAUUUGAAUGAUUUUUCAUUCUCUUUUAUUUUCUUAAUUUAAUAAAGAAUGAGUGGAAUACAAAAGUUAGUAUGUGUAUAAGAAAAUAAUUGGAAACCUAACCUUGCACGAAAUACCAACGAACUAGUGCAUGCAUCCUAGCUCAUUGUGGGAUUAAUUGAUAACAUAUGUAUGUGGUAGUCAUCAUUAAAACAUUUUGUGAGAAUUUGUUGGUAUAUUUUAAAAAACAUUAAGAGUAUUUUUUUUAAUGUUUUGCUUUAGAUAUUUGUUUUUCAAAACUCACUGACUCGACUAUUCUGAUAAACCAAUUAAGAAAGUACUUUUUUUUGUCAUUUUUCAAAACUCAAAUCUCUAUCAAACUAAGUUUAAGCUAAUCGAGAAAGAGAGUGAGGCUUCCAGCCAUAUUCGAAAAGUUGAGUAAAAGUUGUAUGUUUGCCAAGGCAAUAUUAGAUAAGAUCCUACGAGUCCUCUUAAUUUUCAAAAAAUGAAAAAAUUUCAACUAUUUUAUCUGAACGGUGAAUAAUUUUUAUUUAUUGAAUUAUAUAAUUAGAUAGAAACAUUAUAGAAAAUAACUACUAACGAAGCAGCCAAAUAAUUAGAUGCAUGAAAAUGUCAUGUGGACAUCUCAACUGCUACUUACUAACAAGUUGCAAAAUUUGGAAUAAGAUUGAACCAUGCCAUUGACAUUAUAUUAUAUUAUUAUUUAGCUUCACGUGACAUCAUUGAAUCCUUUAUUAAAUUCCAAAAGGUCUUCAAUUCGUUGGCACAUCCUCUAUAGAAACCCCUAUUAUUUAGAGUAUAAAUUAAUGUUGCCUUUGAUAUUGGCCAAAUUAUUUCUUAUAAAAUUCAACAAGUAGGUAAUAUUUUCUCAUUUUUUGAGGGUUGCCUAAAAGCAUUAAUGUAGCUAUAAGUUUUUUAGAAAAAUUCUAUUUUAGUAAUUAUUUAAUGUUUUUUUACAAUUUUUUUUUUGGAGUUGAGUAUAGAUUAUAUAUAUAGAAGAAGUUUUUUUUUUUUAAUUUUUUAAUUUUAUGGUUUGACUUUGCACCUAAUUGGUAGAAUGUAAAGAUUGUAACAGCACGAUUCAUCUUUAUUAUUUAGCGAGGACAGCUAAUUCGAUAACCAUUUCAUUAAUUACCAUUAAAAUUGUACAUAAGUUUCUUAUCCAUUAACUUCCUUUUUAAAGCAAAGAGGCUAUCUGAAUAUUUUCCUCUUUUAAUAAGAAAUAAUUUGUGUCAUUAUUAUUUGAAUGGAUAUUCACGGCAAUAAAAAUAAUUUUUCGCGGUAUUAAAUAUUAUCAAUAAUAAAGAGUGUUAAAAUUUUAACAACAUUAGUUAAGUGAUAUUAAAAUCAACGCCGCUAAAGAUUCCAGGGACAUAUAUAAAGAAUGUUAAUUGUCGCUAAAAAUACAUAUUUAGCGGUAAUUAAAAAUUAAUUGACGCUAAUGAUAUUUUUUAUGUAGUGAUUUUCUGUUUGAACCAUUAAUAUUGAAGUGUUUUUGUAAUUAUUAUUUUAGUGAACUUCACAUAUACUAAGUACUAUUAAAACAUGUUAGUAUAAUAUAUUAUUUUAAAAUUCUUUUUGGAUACACCGGAUGUGAUGGAAAACAAAAACAAUUCUAAUCAGGAUUAACUGGGAUAAAUUAUAGAGUUACCCCAAAUAUUAUUUUUAUUAAUUGCUUGGUUUGUUACGUUUGUUUUAAAAUGAAUAUGGUGUAUCAAAAUAGGAUUAACACGCCAUUUUGUCAAUAUUAUUUGUAUAAAAAUAAUAAUCAAUAAUAUGGGCAAUGAUAUGAUAAUUCACUCAAAUGAGAUAAGAUUAAUAGAAGUAUAUAUAUACCAAACUUAUAAUAAAUUUGAAUUGUCAUUUUCUAUACCUACCAAAAGUAUAUGAGAGGCCAAAAUGAGAAAAGGUCCCUCCUCUUCCAGUAUGUAACCAGUUUUUAUUAUGCUUUAAUUACCAAAAGUUGGUUUUCUCUCUCUUUUUAAUUAGUACUAUAUAUAUAAAAUAUAAAUAAUAAAUGAUGACAGUUUUUUUCUAUUAUAGAAAAUAUUCUUGUAUAAAUACUUUAUUAUUAUUCACAAUUCCAAAAUCACAAUCUUUUCACUUUGUUCACUCAUUAUUUAUUAUAGUGAUAAUAAAAACACAAGAUAGAUCAAUGAAUUGAGUGUGUGUUGAUUUUUGAAAAUAAAUUAUUGUGGAAUGAAUUGAUUAUUUUUUAACUUUAAGUUGAUUGAAACUAAUCCUUGGAAUUAUUCUAUUUUAUACACACAAUUUAAACAUAGAACAAGUGAGUGAUCACAAUUCAGAAUUAAUAACAUAAUUAAAAAUUUAAUAGCGAAGCAAGAAAUAGAUAAAUAUUUUAAAUUUUUAAAAGCUUAAUCGAACAGACUUUGUUGUUAAUCUACAUCCAUAUUGAUGGAACAAGAGCAUAUUAAGACUCAGUUAAAUCCACCACAAACACAUCACAUGGAUUUGGAAACCAAAUGUCCAAGUCUGAGCCAACUUAUAAUGGAUCAUAACUGACUCUAUAGUCUUAUCAUUGAUUUUUUAUGUAACUUUUUAAGUUGGAGACCUAUCACUUCGUUCUUCAAUUUAUUGUAUCCACAAGUUUUAUUAAAAAGUUGGUGUUUGAAAAUGUAUGAAACAUUAUAUUACAUGUCCAAUUUAGGAUAAAUGUGCAAGGCCAAGAGCAUUAUUAGUGUGUCUUUAUAAGAGAUUAGGCAUCAUAUUAUGCCUUUACCAUUUAUCGACAUAAUGUCAAACUCAUCUCCCCACUCCCACCCACCCACUCACUCUUAAAAGCAUUGAAAUCAUAUGACUAUGAAAUCUAAAAUUAAUCACUCCAACCACCAAGAGUACAAUCAGCUAGAAAUUUUACGAAUGGUGUUCAUAAAAAAGGGAAAAAACUUUUGCUUGUGAAAUUUAAACACGACUCAUUCUAGGCAUCUGGAACACAUCAAAGGGUUCUAAAACUAAUGGGCUACUGCAAUCUAUUAUGUUAAGAGUAUCUAGAAUAUAUUAUUUAAUCGCUUUCAUCUUUAUUGUCCAAGCGCUCCUAUUUCUGUUGAAAAUAUAAUCAAAUUUUGGACUCCUGAUCCAUGGGCCUUGGUGUGAAGGGAGUGUUAGAGUGGGUAAAAGUUUCUCAUUGGUUGAGGGAUGGACUGGUGGUCUCGUUAUAUGGACUUGAGCAAGCCUCCCCUCAUGAGCUAGCUUUUGGGAUUGAGUUACCGUCAGUUGUGAUAUCUUCACGCAAUUUCUCUAGUUGGAAACAAGAAAAUAGAUUUUAUAUAAUAUAUAGAUUCACAUAAAAUUCUGGAUUCAACACUUGUUAGUACAACAAAAGUAGAAUAAUAUUAUUGGAAGAUAUUAAUGGGCUAGGACCUAUUCAUAUUUGAUGGACCUUUUUAAGUUACUGACUAGUGUCAGUAGACCUAUAGUAUAAAUAAUUUGAAAAAGUGUGCGUUGUAAAACAUUGAUAGAAGAAGAAUUUAGAAUCAACCUAAUGCAAUACUAAACUUAAAAAGUGUUACAUUGUGGAGUACAAAUGAAGUCCAAUGGAAGGCAAUGUGCACAUAUUUAACAAGGCCUUUUCCUUUUUUGCUUGCCUAUCCCACAAGACACGCCAUACAAACCCCACUCAUGAAAUUACACCGAUAAUGUUAUUAUUGUAGUCAAACUUUGACAAAACUUCGAAAACAAACUUUCAUGUAUAACAAGUUAUAAUCCUUGAAUCAAAGUAUAAUUUGUAAUGAAGCAAAGUAUAUGUUCUUUUACUCUCAUGUUUAUGUUAGGCAUAUGCAUUUGCAUUGUUCUGGACUUGAAAAAAAACAAACUUUAUUUCAUCUAGCAUAAUCAAAGUUCUUGUAGCGAAAAACCGCGAAAAAUGGAAAUGGAAAUGGGUCUCAAACUAACAAGAGUUGCUAAUGAAUCCUCUUCUACUGAAUUUCAAUUUGCAAAAGACAGAGCUGGCCCUCUUUUCCAGUCUACAGAAACAGACACAAUGUUCAUCCUUACUGUCCAUUUGAAAGGUAAAAUUUUUCUCUUCAUCAUCAUACACACAGUAAUUUUUUUCAUUUUCAUGUUCAUUUGUACUUACUUCUAAUAUGUAUAAACUCUGUAUAUAGGUUAUAUACAAGAAAAUAUUAAGGUUGAUAUUAAUGAAGAAGGGACUAUUAUUGCGAUAAGGGGUGAAAAAUCGGUUCAAGAAACGGUGAUGGUAGGGUGGAAAUUGAUCAAAAAAGAUGUAGAAGUUAGAAAAUUUAGUAAGGCUUUCAAGAUUCCAGAUGGGGUUAUCUUGGAUGAAAUUAAGGCUAGAUUUGAUGAUGAAAUAUCCAUAUUGACAAUUAAAAUGCCAAAGAAAGUAAAAGGGAUUCUUGGAAUUGAAUUUGUUGAAGUGAAGGAACAUGAGGAAUUGCCAAUUGUAGCUAACAAAAUUUCUAAAAAAGUCACAUUUAAAGAAGAUAUGGAUAAGCCAAAAGCAGAGGAAAAUCAAGGAAAACCACGUGAAGUAGUCCAAAAACAUGUUGUUAAGGAUGAAAUGAUGCCAAAUGAAGACUCAAAACAUGUUGUUAAGGAUGAAAUAAUGCCAAAUGAAGACUCAAAACAUGUUGUUAAGGAUGAAAUGAUGUCAAAUGAAGACUCAAAACAUGUUAUUAAGGAUGAAACAAUGCCAAAUGUAGACUCAAACAUCCAGAACAACGAUACGAUUGAUGAAACAAGAGAGGCUCGAGGGGAUUUUGUAGGUCAUGAUAAACCUGAAUCAUCGAAUUCGAGGGAUGAACAUAAAGAUGAUCAAGCUAGUGUAACAUCAAGGAAAAGGGAAGAUGACAAUGUGCCUAAGAAGAGCUCAAAAAUUUGUGUGCCUAUUGUUGCAGGAUCAGCCUUAAUAUUAUCUCUUUUUGUGUUUGUAAUUCAUCUCAUAAGAACUAAGAAUCAAUCUGUGAAAAGAAAAGGUUAAAAGGCUAACAACAUAGUAUGAAUGUUGUUAUUUUCUAAAACCUUUUUCUUUUACUUCUUUCAUUUGAUCGUAAAAAAAGAGAGUUUGGUGAUUACUAGGUUCAAUUUGUUGUGUUGUGAGUUUGUAAUUGAGCCUAUAAAAGCAUAACAUUGUUAUGGGCACUUUGUAUCACUUUUCUUUAAGGUGCGGUGGUGGUGUGAUUAUGGUUGUUUGGUCGCUAGAUAAGAAAUAAGUUAUUUAUAUGUUAAUUUUCGUAUAACUUCUACGUCGUUUGAUAGGUAGAUAGAAAAUGAGUUAUUUAUAUAUAAAACUAAUAUGUUGUUCGGUUGGUGGUUUGAUUAUGGUUGUUUGGUAGCUAGAUAUGAAAUAAGUUAUUUAUAUGUUAAUUUUCGUAUAACUUCUACGUCGUUUGAUAGGUAGAUAGAAAAUGAGUUAUUCAUAUAUAAAACUAAUAUGAUGUUCGGUUGACAAUUUUAAAACCCGCAUAACUAAUAUAUGUGUAAAUUAUGAGAAAAUCUAUGUGUUAUUUUAUAUGAGAUAGCAGAUGGAAUAACUAAUAUCUGCAUAGAAUAAUAAUACAUAGAUUCACUCAUAACUAAUUGAUUUUUGUAUAACUCAAAUCAGCUACCUAACAACCUUUUCUAGCCUGCCUUGCAAAUUGCAAUUCUAUUUACAUAUCUCCUUAGCUCCCUACAAUGUGCUUAUUAAAUGAAGGUGAACAGAUGCCAUCAUAGCUUUUAGUUUUGGGCUUUAUACAUUAAAACCUGAAUUGUUGGAACAUCUGGUCUUGGGCUUUUAGCUCACUACAAGGAUGCUAGCAACCCUGAAUCUUCAAACAUGUUCUUAUUAGGCCUUACUAAUACCAAUGUUUUAAAGGCGUUCUUUUAAGUGUCGAAGAGUUACACAUCAGAUGAAAAUUAAAAGAGAUGAAUGAGUUAGUUUUUCGAGUUAAAUUAUGUUCAAGAUUAGACUUCGACAAGUGCCUUCUCAUGAGCUAACUUUUAAAAUUAAGUUAGAGACUCAAAAUCUAUUUUUUUUUUUGCACUAUGCGAGUUUUGAGAUGAGCUUCAAGGCUAGGCACAACGGAAACGCACCAAGAGGUAUUAGUACACGAGUCCCAUCCAAAAUGGCAAAUAAUUUGAAUAUAAUUGAUUUUAAUAAUUACGAUAAAUAAUUUAAGACGAAGGAAGGUGCCAAAACUAAACUAAUGUCAAAGUAGGAUCAAAGGAUAGCAACAUUAGAGAUGAUAAUCAGCCCCUUUUAAUGCUACUUAAGAUUCAAAACUACAUCCCAAACAGUGGAAUCUCUCUUUUUUACAUUCCAAACUUUUCUCUUUCUCCUUUUUGCAUUGUCUAAAGCAUCAUUAAGAAAAUUGCAAAGCACACACUUCUUUGAAUUGCUGAAAACCCCACAACCUGCAUUUCCAAAUUUCAAAAUAACAAUUAAAUUAAUUAAUUAAUUAAUUAAACUUGAAAACAUCAAUGAGGAAUAUAAUUAGAACUAAUAAUGAAUCUAAUCAGUACCACCACCAUCAGUCUCCUUUUGUCCCUUUUGUUCUUUUCUUUUUUCAUUCACUUUUUAGGUCAUUUUAAAUUAAAUUCCCCUCUUCCUUUUUCUUCUUUUUUGUCAUCUUUUUCUAUUUUCUUUUUUUGGGUUAGUUCUUGAAAUUUCAGAAAUCCUAAAAAAAAUUAAAAAAUCUUUAAGUUAGAUUAGUUUGAAACUCUUUUUUGUGUGUGGUUUACAUUUUACACUACACCAAAACCUACAUUUAGACCCAUCAACUUAAUUAUCACUAAAUAUAUAUUUUUAAUAACAAUUUAGUACCUACUAAAAUUUAUUAUAAUUUAAAUAAAAGAACAAAAAGAUAAAAAUAGAAAAAUAAAAAAAGAAUAUAGACUAACCAAAAAAAAGGAAAAAAAACAUAAAAAGGAAUCAGUAGUAGUGUUACUUAACAAUAAUCCUUAUAAAUAAAACUUAAAAAAAGUAAUAUAUGAAAAAACAGUAGUUAGCAGUCAACCAGUAGCAAUUACUGGAAUUAUUUCUCUCUUUUUUAAAGAGAAUUAUUUAUACGUUAAUAUGUUAUUUCUAAAAUUUCAUUCUCCGUUCUUCUCCUCUUGAUCGAGUAAUUUCAUUUUUAUUUCUAGCUUCUUCUUUUUUUGGAUAUGCCAAUCUCCGAAGGCUUUUUUUUCUAUAAACAAAAUAUUGAAUUACUGACCGAAGAAAAUCGUUUAAAUGUAUGAGGUAUUUUUUCUUUUAAUAUUUUUUUAAAAAAAAGACUGAAAAAAGUCUAAAAUUUCCCCUUUAAAAAGUAUAUUAUAUGGACCGCAAAAAUCAAAAUAAGCACUUUCGUCCCUAAAAAGAAAAUCCUAAACCAACUUUUACCACUAUUCCGUUUGCUUUCUAAUAACCUUUUUCUUUUUAGACAUUAUCACUCACUAUUAUAUGCAUAUAUAUACCUUUAACUAAAUUCUUGAUGUAUCAAAUUAUUCAGGAUAAAUUAAAUUUCUUUACACUUUUUUAUUAUGUGCCCAAAAAAAUCAUAUUUUUAUAAUUAAAAAUAUUUUAAUUUAAAUUUUUUUUAUAAUAGUGUACCGAAUCAAAUACGGAAAAGUGAUAUAAAUUUGACGAAUUACCUGGUGAUUAGAACCGGAAGUUGGCAAAGGGCGGAUAGUGGCAGAGUCAACUUCACCAGUUGGCAAAGGAACCGCCGGAUUACUGUUAAUAAACGGAAUUUCAUCUCCUUUUUCCGGCACCGUUGGCCCAUUUGCCGGUAACAGAGCAAUCGGUGAAGGGCUAGGGGAAGUGGCUUCUCGGGGCUGAAACGGCCAUGGGUAUGCCGGAGAAGAUGACACAACGCCGCCGGAUAUCACCGGUGGAGCUCCCACCGGUGGCUUUUCCGGCGAGUAGGCAGGACUUGCUGCCGGAGUUGGAAGAGAUACCUUAAUUGCUAGUUUUUGGCCUUGUAAACAUGCUGCAUUUGACCCAUUGUUGAAUGAGAAGUAAAAAAUACCCUGCCUUGAUGGAUGCCACUGCAAAUCAAUUCAUCAGGAAAAAAAAAUUAAAAAGGCAGAUUUUUGAACACCCUUUUGAAUUCUAUCCCUGAAUCUUGCAAAUAUUUGAAGAAAUUGAAAGCAUGUAUUUGAAACUUUGGGUAAAAACUAGCCCUUGAAUCUUGAAAUUAUGAAGAAAUUGAAAGAACUCCCUAACAUCAUUUUCAAUUUCAAAUUUUAAGUUGGAUAUGUUCAACAAGUUAGUGGCAUUUUAAAUAAGCUUUGUUUAUAAAAAUAUUUUCAAAGUUCUAAAAAAUUUACUUCUGUCGCAUGUUCAAACACAACUUCAAAUUUCAAACUUAAAACUUCAAAAACUCGAAUUUUCAAAUUUCGAGCCAAAAAGGAGCAAUAGAAAGUUAAAAGAGGAACUUACAGUAUAAGACUUGGAAUCAGAUUUAGUAAGAAGUGUAGCUUGAGUGAAAUUGCAGGCAUUGAAGGCAUUCUGAUUCUUGAAAAUGUACACAUUAUACUCAUACUUAUGCUGAAAAACUGAAGAAAAAAUAUUUGGUCAAAUAAAAAAAGUAACAAAAACAGGAAAUGGUUCAUAAUACAAAGAAAACUAGUACUACGCUUACUAAUGGAAUCAUCAAUGUGGACAAUUGGAUUUUUCCAUAGUGAAACUCCAUCAACUACUACAGUUGUACUUUGAGAAAGUUGAAAGAUUAGACUUCCAAGAAUGAAGAAAAACACACAAAACAUAGAGACAUUUCCCAUACUGAAAAUUGGUGCUAAAUUCAAAGGGGAGAGCAAAUAAAGAAAAAAAGUAACAAAUAAUGUAAGCUUUAGUAGCUUUUUAAUGGAUGAAAAAAGAGAGUACAUACAACACAAAGAAAGAGGAGAAAAUAGAGAGGUGUCAGUGUGUUAAGCUUUUCACGGGAAUUGUUUUGAAUUUGUGUACUCCUAAUGAAAAUGUGUUGCCACAACAAUUUCAUAUUAUACUUGGUUUACAUUAUUAAAAAUUGGAAAAAUAUACGAGUAGCUCCUUAACCUAUGUCCAAAAUUUUAGAAAUAUUUAUACUAUAUUCAGGAUUUACUAUUCUCAGAAUUUAUUUUAUAUAUAAUUUUCUAUUCCUUUUCGACUUACGUGGCAUUAUCUUGUGAGUUCAAUGUAUGUUGACAUUUUUUUUUCAAGUUAGUGUCACGUAGGACGAAAAGAAAUAUAAAAUUAUUUAUAGAAUAAGUUGAAGAGUAAUAGGACAUUAGUAUAGUAUAAGUGUGUCUCUUGGAAUUCGGGCAUAGAUUGUGGAUAUACUUAUGCAAUUUCCCUUGAAAAUAUUUAUCCUAAAUUAUUUAUUACUUUACAAGGUUAACAAUAAAAUGAAUUGAAUUUCUUGCAUUGUACUCCUAAAAUUAAUUCUUUUUAAAGUAUUAUAAAAUUAUUUUUUAAAAAAAACUUCUGUUAAAGUUUACCUUCUCCGACGACAGCUAGUUCAAUGGUUUCUAAGCUAGACGGCGAUGAUACCUAGAGAUGUGAAAAUAAGUUAAAGCAUAAAGUCAUAACAUGUUUAAAAUAAAAAGGAAGUAUACAUGUCUCUUCCUCGCGAAUAUUCUCCCAAGGGGAAAACUCGAUUUGUUGCUUGAACAAUCCUUUCUGGACUUAAACAAGCAUCCGGGGGUGGAUUUGUCGAAUUUGCUAUGUUGAUGUUGAUUUUCUUCAAUCUCAGGCAGUCCAUUUUUAAUCGUUGACGUGAAAACUAUUAUGUUAUUUCUUUUAGUAUGUGUUGAUGAAAUUGUAAUCAUUGGAAAUGACAUUCAAAAAGUUCUCUAUAUCGAGAGAUUUUAAAUUUCGUAAGUAACUUAAUGGUCGUGUUUUAGAGCCUCAAAUCAGAGAAUGAAAUAGAAUUCCUUUAUCACAUCACACAUGUAGAUCUUUACUUUGAUAAAUCAGAGGAUCCUCCUUUCAACAAAUUCUUAAAUAUUAGGAUAAUACCAAUAAAAGAAAAGGUAGACAAAUAAAAUGGAAUAAAUAAUAUUGAUUACUGUUUCUAGUACUACUACUAAGAGUUCAAAACACAUUUGAAUUAUAAUUUUUUCAUGAAUUUCACACUUUAACUAUUAAUUAUUUUUAUUUUCUUUUUAAAUUAUCACCAUCGACGUAAAAACACCAAUUGAAGUGGAUUAGAUCAAACUAUCAAUUAUUUUUUUUUUAUUCAAACUAUCGUCAUCUACUCAACCGAGUACGUUUUAAACAGUGUUUUAAAAAACGUCUUUGGGGCGAGUCUCGGGUUGAGGCGCACAAAAACGCUCUGGGCAGUAAAUUGAAAACGUAGAUCCAUAAGGCGUAAGUCCUAAAAUUUGAGGCGUAAGCCCUGAACAUAAAAACGUAAGUCAAGAUGUAAAAACAUACGCGCGGACAUUUUUAUUUUUUAAUUUUUUUUUCUUUAAAUCAUAUUUUUAUUAUUGGUUUAAUGAUAUUUCUCAAAAAAUAAUUACAAUACUUUUUUCUUCAUUAUUGAUUAUUAAUACUUAUCUCAAAUAAAAAUCAUAAAUCUUUAAAAGGUUUGCUUUUGCUUAUUUUAUGAGUAAUUAAACUAUAAAUUUGAAUAUACAUGAGACUACACCGUGUAUAUCUAUGGGACUUAUGCCUCGUAUCUCGAAACUUACCUUCGCCUAUAAAACGCCUCGGCUCAUACCCCGACCUUUUAAAAUACUGAUUUUAAAUAUAUAAAUUAUAAUAGUUGAAAUUGAAAAAUAACUUGUGAUAAUUCAAAGUGCACAAGAAAAACAAUUAAUGACUGAAGAAAAGAAGAGUAAUUGUUCAAAUUUUUAUAUAUAUAUUUUUUACCAUUAUCUCUACUGUUAUUAGACUAACAAAUAGUAUAUUUUUUUCUUUUAAUGUUUUUACAGUAAAAGUUGUAAUGAUUUUGUCUGCGGAAAAUAAAUAAUUUAACAAACGGAAAGAUUCUUUAUUUUAAGUAAAAAAGUGUAACAUGGGAUUAUGAUGAUUUUGGGUUAGAUUGGUGAUGAGUGAUAAGUGAUGAUGGGCUUUAUUAUUUCAAAAUGAUUAGUUUUUUGUGAUCAUGAAUUUAUUACACUAUUAUAGGGCUCUUGGGGAACCCAAUUUUCAUUUGUUUAAGACUUUUGAGUACAAUCUUUUAAAUUUAUGAUAAUUAUUUGAGUCUUUGCUCGUACAAUUCUAGGUUUAUUUUAUCUUUUACAAGGUUAUGGGUUGUCACAUGUUAAUGCUUUGAAGCAAUUGCUUAUUACAACUUUUGUGUAGUAUUUUCUUCGUUUCGUAUUACUUGAUUAUCUGAUUAUAAAAGUAUUUUGCUUCUUUAUAAUUUGAAUUUGUAAUCUUAUUUUAAAAUUGUAAACAAAGAAUGUUCAUCGUUUGAGUAAUUUCCUCUCGUGUAAUUUAUACUUUCUUUGUCUCAAUUUAUAUAACUUAUUUUUCUUGUUAAUCAAUUCAAAAAAGAACGACACAACUAUUUUAUCCUUGAUGAAUAAAUUUUAUAUUUACACAACUAGAAGUUUUAAAAAUUCUUCUUCAUUUAUUUGUUAAGUUUCGUUUUGUUUCGUAUUACUUGAUUAUCUUAUUGUAAAACAGUUUUGCUUCUUUUAUAAUUUGAAUUCGUAAUCUUCAUUUUAAAAUUGUAAAUAAAGGAUGUCUAUCGUUUGAGUAACUUCCUCUCGUCUAAGUUAUACUUUUUUUAUCCCAAUUUAUAUGACGUACUUUUCUUGUUAAUCAAUCUAAAAGAAAAUGACACAACCAAUUUAUCCUUAAUGAAUAAACUUACAGUUUCACAACCAUAAGUUUCAAAAAAAAAAAAAUUCUUUCUUAAACUUCAUAUCAGGUCAAACUGUAUUAUAUAAAAUGAAACGAAGGAAAUUGUAUACAAAGAUAAUUAAACCAAAAUUAUUUCAAUAUUGAAUUAGCUAGGUCAAAAAAAAAAAAUAGGUCAAACGUACGUAACUCUAGAGCACAGUGAAAAAGUAGUAUAAAGAUAUGUAUAUGACUGGAUUUUAUUAUAAGGGUCCAGAAAAGAAAUCCAAGGCUCUAUCUGCCACAGGCAUGAGACACUAGUACUGCUUCUAAAACACUUAGCUAGUUUCUAGUAAUGUCCACUAAUCAUAUAUUAUAUUUUUAACUUUGUUUUUUACUAGUAUAUAAUCACUAAAAAGCUUUUAGAUAUUAACAAAGAAACAAAGGGGGUGUGAUUUUUGUGGACCUAAAACAUUAAAAGUAUAAAAAGUCAAUUAAGUGUAUACCAAGACAAAUAACUACAAGACAAAAACAUGUACACCUUUUGAACUCUACAAUUUCUUUUUUGCAGAAACAGAAGCUGUUUGGUUUAAUGGAGGAAGAUAAGUGAGGCACGAUAUGGGCUUCAUCUUUUUUUUAAUUAAAUUUUGUUGUAAUUUAUUAAAGGGAACAUAGAUAUUAGGCUUUAUAAAUGGAUUGACAGCUCCUUAAAUAAUUUAACGAUAAAGUUCAUUUAGACGUUUAAAUUAUGUAUUUGAAUACAUGAUAAAUGUUUCAAUUAGUAUUUCCAACAUAAUAUUUUAAAAGUUUCUCCAUGUAUUCUCAAACACUCAUUACGUUAAUAAGUUAGCCUCUCUUAAAAUAUGUUAUCUUUUUUAGGUUAUACAUAUUUUGCAGAACAAGUGUAAAACCUCAAAGACACAUGUUCAAAUGGAUUGUUGAUGUGUACAAUAACAUUUUUCAUAUUUUUAAACUUAUUUACGUAAUGUCAAUUAAGAAAACCAAAAACUUUUCAAGAUAUGAGCUAAAAUUAAAAUGUUUCAUUAGAAUAUCUUCUAAUUUAAAUAUUUAAAUAAAAUUUAUCACACAAAUUAGGGGUUUCAGAUAAAUAUAGGGAACAAAUUAAAGACAGGAACAGGGAAGUAAGAGAUUACGCAUGCAAUUUAAGAUUUGUCACACUGCACACAUGACUUGUCCUAUAUUCUUUGGUGUAUAUGUUUUUGGUUUUUGGUUAUAAUAAAGUCCUUGUCUUGAGGGCGUGAUGCAUUAAAUCAAGUGUAUAUGUGCUAGUACAUAUGGGUUCUAAGAGGUUAUUGAUAUAUUUAAUAUAUUUUAUGAAUAAAUUUAUAUAUUUGAUAUCAAAUUUAGGAUGUAUUUAAUAUAUUUAUGCAUAAGUAAAAAAAGAUGAAUAUAGAGAUAUAGUUAUCCAGAUACAUUUUUUAAUAUAUAAUAUAUAUGUAUAUUUGAUGUAGUUCGGUAGCAGAACAAGAAGAGAAGUAGAAAAAGAGGGAGAGAGUUAUUGUGUGAAUAAAAUAUGAAAAACUGCAACUAAUAAAUAACAAUCGUAAGUUUGAGAAAGGGGAGGGGAAGGAGCGAGAAAUUGUGCAAUCAUUUUAUAGUAUAAAGGAAUUCAUAAGUAAGUAUAUAUGACGGAGAUGUUUGUCAACUUAAAUAGUCUUUUUUAAAAUAAAAUAAACAAGUUCUUAACCCGCCCGAACAUAAAGAAUUUGAAUGUAUUAUGAUUUUAUGGCCUGAUUUGAAACUUAUUUAUGAAAGGGUAAAUAACACAAAUCUCACUAGUUUAGAAUCUAAUUACGUCUCUUUUCGUGAGUUUGCAAUAUUAUCAAUCCUACCAUAAUUCGCACCUCAAAUAAAUAUAUUUGGUGCGUCCAAAUUCAUAUAUCUUUAACUAGAUACACUUGAUUAAGUGUAUCUAAAUAUGAAAUGCAACAGAAAGAUAUAUAAAUCAGGGAGGAAAUUACGUGUAUAACAAAGUUGGAAGAUCUAUUAUAUCACAACUCUUUAAAGAACUGAAAUUCUUACAACCCUGGACAGCGAUUUUCAAAUUUAGAUACAUACCAUUGUUUUGAUACAAAACAAGAUUCAAAGAUAACAUUAUUUUUCAGAUACAUGUAGAUAAUUAUCACAAAAACAUUCAAUCCAUGUAAAAGUCAAAACUUAAAAAAGAAAAAGAAGAGAAAUACAAGUAAAUGAUGAAGCUAUCUGUGAAUUAUGUUUAAAUAUUGCAUGUUUCACAUAAAUGUUUGAACUACCAUUUCGCUCGGCUUGUGAUCUGAAUUUUGGAUUGUAUCCAUUCUAGCACGUACAUCUUAGCGUAGUUAUCGCAUUUUUACUGGAUCUUUUCGAAGCUUAAUUAGAUCUAUUCAUGUCGGGAAAUGGAGUAUAAGAAGCAACAACCGUAAAAUGAGACUACCACAGCCCGAAUCUUAAUACAACUAAAUACCAAAAACCAUAAAAUAAAAUGAUGACAAGACAAGUGACAGAUUGAGGGGACUAAAGUAUUUACUUUUCCUUUAAUCCCAAGGGCUCAAUCAUGAGUGCAGUCCCAAGUACCAGGGACUACAAACAACUCACUUUCUUUAUACUUUUCUCCUUUUCCUCCAAAUUAUGGCACACAAAAAUCACUAAUAUCCUUGUCCUCUUUAAAAUUGUUAGCCCCAACUAACAUGACACCUUCUUUAUGAUGAAAGAGCCCAACAUAGGCACAGCGAUGCAUACGAUGAGUUCAUAGUGUAUGUCAAGCACGGGAGAAAAGCAUGAGAUGAUAUCACUGUCAUUCUUGCGAGCAAAUGCUAUAAACGAGCUAUUGACCAAAAAAAAAAAUACUAAAUAUUAGUCACUCGUUCCCAAGCUAGCUUGUAUCCAAUCUAACAAGUGAGGCAGGCAGCAUUUACACUAUAACUACAACUAACUAAAUAAUUGUUCGGAUUUCAACGAACUCCCUCCCCACUACAUAAAUAUUAGAUUCUGUCAUAGAUUUCCAGGUCACGAUACUAUAUGAUACUGCUCUUUACAAAGGAAGCACUAUCACUCAAAAAAUCACCAUCUGCUAAAUUAUCCAUCCUGAUGUUAUAUCACUUAACCCCAGCAUGGCUAGGCUCCUUUAUUCUGUAUCUAUAUCAGAAGGCAUUAAUUUUAAACUAUGCCUGUGGCAAAACGAUAUAUUACCACUGCAUGGAGCACACUCUUCGCAGGACACGAGGCGGUUUUCGCUUCUCCACAACUGGAAUUACCUUCUCUAUUAUCUGAAGGAAAAACAACAUCAAGAAAUGUUAAAUGUACUACCAUUACACUGCUAGUCUACCAAAGCAGAGGAGAAUUUCACUUUGUAGGCCAUGUUGCUAAUGUAUAUUUUUUUAUACAAGUAUAUUGCUAAUGUUAUUUUUCGAAGCACUAAUAAGCUUAAUGACAAUGUCAAAAAUUAGCUGCUUAAGCAAGCCAUAGAUUCUCAUGCAUACUCAAACAGGGAAGCAGUGUCACACAAUAUUAACUUAACUUUACCUUACAGUCACAACUGACAAAUUACGCAAUGGAUCUAUUAAUAAGGAAAAACAACCACCAUAAUACAGGUAACAAUUGCUAUAUAAUUCCAUGCAGUUGCUUUUACCCAUCACAAUACAAUAAAUAACUAGGGGUGAAAUAUAGGACCAUAGCACAAAGUAGAACUGCUUUAUGCAUGAAAACUAGAAGAAAACCAAGAUACGCUUCCACUAUGGAACUAUCGCUCUUUUUGAUGUUCGUCACACAUCUAGCAUGACCAUUUUUUGUUGUUUGUUAUUAGCAAACAUCGGAAUUUAGACUUCUAAUUACAAAAAAUGAAAAGGAAAGAAAUUAUGGCUCGUUGCUAUAUGUAUUUCCUCAAGCCGAAUAGAAGAUGCAAUUCUGCGAAUGACAUGAUUAUAACUUCUUUUUACUACCGGGCCUUCAAUACUAGGAGAAAGAAAGGCAGACCGUAACUAUAUUGCACACCUAAAAAGUGGAAAGAGUCUAUCAUCACAACUCAAUGAACAUGUUUUCCUAAAGAAAUUGUUACUUCUCUCUUUUAGAAAAAUACCUACAUAUUUUGUUAAGAUGUAAACCAAUUCAAACGGAGCUUGUGAAUUUCAGAAAUAUGUAAUAUUAUAGGAUUCUUCGGAAAACAAUUUAUCUGAACAUCAUUAGGCCUUAAAGCGCAUUUCCUGACACUUCAAAUGAUCUUUCAGAAAAGCAAAUGACACCAAUGUCAACAGAUAAUUUUUCAGUUAAAAGGUUGAAUGAGCAAGCAGGAAGAGAAGGUGGAUCACACACUUGGGUUCUUGGAUAAUCAUAAUCUUAUAAUGGCUAGUCAGUAUAUCAAAGUUAUACCAGAUCCAGUUGGAUUGGAAUGUAUGAGCAUUAAGGAGAUCUUGAUGUGAAUGGAUGUACAAGUUGAAACAGUACCAUUAUAAUUGAGAAAUCUGUCGAUGACCUCUUUCUGUUUCCUAUUCUCUUUUAGGCGUGUUUACCUGCUUGUUACUGAGAAUUUUGAACUGGCAUUCAUUAUUUAUCAUUCCUAUAUUCUAACUUCUUUUUUUCAUUCUCUUAUAUGAUUAGAGCUAUAUUAUCACUUAAAAACAUAUUUGACGUCCUUUUACCGCAUAGGAUAUUGUUGUACGGUAAUGCAAGAUGAAUGACCAGGGGUGGACAUAAGUUUUUUAAAUAUCGAAAAACCAAAACAGAACCGAACUAAUUUGGUUCUAUGAUUCAGUUUCAGAUCUAUUUUUUUUCUAAACUUCGGUAUUCGGUUCUCAGUUAUAUGGUACCACCAAACUUUUAAUUGUCGAAGCAUUAAAUAGGAUCUAAUGGUAUUCCACAUACAAAGUAAACAUAAUAAAUAUAGCAUCUUAAUUGACAGGUCCAAGUUGGACCGUCCAACAAAUUGUCUUGAGAAAAAUUGAUCAUUUAAUAAGAAAGUAAUAUAUGAUUUCAGAUUAGUUCAAAAGUGAUCUGCAUAGCAAGAGUACAUCUUCUUGCUGCUUGAUCACCACAUCAUAAAGAGCACAAUUUUAUUUCUAGCAAAUAACUACUAAAAUUACGACUCCCCACUAUUUGAGAGAAGGGAUGAAAUGUUGGUAUUCAUUAAGAUAAUUAACUUGAUUGAUUAGAUGAAUAUAGAGAUUUUAAUAGUUCAUACGACAUUCAGGUAUUGGAAGAUGAAAGCAAUUCCAAAACAUCAAAUAGAUAUUACACUAAAGGAAAUGAGAACUAAGCCUUCUUGACCUCUCCAUAUAAUGAAAAAAAUAAGGGGAAGUCCACAUCCGUUUAUCAAAAGCUGAUUCAUUGUGCAAUUUUUAUAUCCUUUGUAUAUGAGAAGAUUAGAGAACACAUGGGGUACAGUGAGUAGUUUGUUUAGUUUAUAGUAUGAGAAGAUUAUAAGAACCGACAAUUUCAGCUCAUAUUUAUAAAAUCAGUCCAUUAAACUAAUUAUAAUGAGAUGGAUCAUUUAUAUUUCAAAUGGGUAAAUAUGGAUUUCAAUCUACUUUUAAAUCAUGAAAAUAAUAUGGGUAUCUAUAAAUUUACAGUAUUUUGGCUUUAGGAGAUUAUAGUGGGUUUGAACCAUUUUACCCAAUCCACCAUAUUAAUAUGGGAGGAUUGCAAUCUAAUCCAUCUUGGCUCAAACUGGAAUAAUGUAACAUUAAGAAAGACAAAGUAAAAAGAAUAAUUACAAAAAGAAAUAUCACCGGUGUCAAGUAGUAACUACAAAAAAAGAAACAAAGAUUUUAAGAAUUUUGGCUUUAGGAGAUUAAAGUGGGUUAGCACUAAGAGCCAUUUUACGCAAUCCACUUUUAACCCAUAUUAAUAUGGGUGAAUUGCUAUCCAAACCAUUUUAUAGCUCAAUCUGCCCAAAUCUGAUCUAAUCCCGCUCAUUUGCCACCACUAUUUUGUAAUAUUAAAAAAAAUUGUAGUACAUAUUAAUAAAAUGAUGCAUAAAUUGAUGAAUUGGUAGGAGGGACCUAAUCUUUAGCUACAGUUAAUUUAUUGCAGCUUUUGGAUGAGUCGCACCUUUCAGUGUAACUUGCCAGAACCAGCUAGUUAUGCAUUAAUAGCGCAUUAAUCAGGCCCAUACUGAAGAACAAAAUUGGAAACAAAUGAACAUUGGUUCAGUAUACUGUAUGCACUGAUAAAUAACUGAAGAAUUGAACGCUUGACUACCUCAUUAUUUCAAGUAUCAACCUAGCGGUUCUUCAACCAUUCAGAUAUUUUUGCUGGCAUAAAUGUGAAUUACGUGAUAUAUAGCUAGAAACAAAGGGAUCGUUCGGGUAAAUCUUUGCAAAAACUCUCUAAUUAAAGUGCUUGACAUGAGGAAAAAAUGAACCACUCAGACACAACAUAUAGGGAAUAAAAUAGCAAAAGAAGUUACCUGUUUAUAAUGUGCUCUGGUUCGCUCUUCCUGAAAAUUACAAAGUACUUGUGUUACUCAAAGAAUUAAAUCAACAAAACAAUUACAUAUAGAAAUGCAGACGAACACAUAUUGGAAUUAUUUAGGUGCUUACAAAAUGUUACAGCAUUGCUUAACUUGAUUAUCAAAUGCUACAGUAAACCUUUUCUAGCGAAGCUAAGUUCCCACCUCAUCACCAAGCACAUGCCCACCCCACCAAGAACCCCCUUUACUACUAAUCAAAAUGCCUAGUGAAGGACCAUGAAGAAGCAACGGUUACUUAAUGCAUCAGUAAACAAUUACCCUUUAUAAGCAAUGGCAUUCGCAAGAUUUUUCGUAAACAGUGUCACAUUUUAAAAUGAGAAGUAAAUAAAAUAAUGUAACAUCAUAUUAAAAAGGAACAAAAUUAUAAAUAAAAGACAACUCAUAUAUUACUACCAACUCUUCUUGAUGAGUUUUCAUUUUUUUAACAGUAUUAAAAAUUAAAAUAACCUCAUCAAAAAUAUUACUGAACACUUUUAUAUAGGGCAUCAAAUGAUCCCAAAAUAAUUCAUUGAAUUCUACAAAUCAUAUCAUUGGCGAGCAAGAUGAAACGAAAGAAGAAAAGAGAAAACAUGCAGCACCUCAACUAAUCAGGGAAGAAGCAACAUCCUUCUCAAUACGUCAUAUACGGUAAAGUCUACUGAUGUGACACUGGAGUAAUUGGUUCAACGUUUUGUUAACUACUAAGAGGUCGAAGGUUCGAACCUGGACGUGUAUCACUUUGUAGAUUAAAGAGCAAAAACUUUAAACACUAAACGAGAACACCGAGAUUAAAACUCCUGAACCUAUGUUGAAAACGCACUGACCAAAUGAGUUGUGUGGCUCUUUGUGUCAAAAAGUGUCAUUUUACUCAAUUAAUCCUCUAUUUUUGUCUUGGCUUUUAAUUAUAUAUAGAUAUUUAGUAAAAAAAAUUCCGACAAAGUGGUGUCACGUGAAACUACUUGAUGCCUUGACCUAAGGUAAACCCACCCAUGUUUACAAGGAAAUCACCAAUUACUUCUAUCUAGUCAAAAAAUGAUUUUAGAGAGAAAAAAAUCCAAACAAAGCAACUUUGAUUUUCAUGGGACAGCUUACAAUAUGAAAACAAACAGUACAAAAUUAUAUGCUUUCAGCUACUAUCCAACUAACAACAGAAUAGGAUUUACUAUUUGAUACUCAUGCCAUUUUAUGGAAGGCUAGCUAUCCCAAAAAUAGUAAGUAAAUAGUUUUUAGACAGUCAAAGAAGAAUAAAAAAUAAUCAUCGAACUUCCACUUCAAGAUAUUUCCAAGGUAUUUUUACAGUCAUACUAAUAUUCCACUUGCAUAUACGGGUCCUUUCCUGUGUCUUUGGAGUCGCUCAUAAUCAAGUAAGGGAUUUUUAAUGGGAUGCAAAAGGAAAAAUAAAGCUCGUAGAAAAUUACUUAUGAUUUAUAGUGCAAUGUUCCAUUUGCAAGAUAAAAGUUUGCAUCACUAAGGUAAUCUCUGAAUAUCUCACAGCUUGUUUUAAAAUGGUUGUUACAUGUUUCUUAGUUUAAAUACAAUGUUUGUUUUGUUUGUUACUUGAGUUAAAUUUUAUCGUAUCAUUAAAUCCAUCAAUUAGGUAACCAUGAAAAGUCUUCUUUUGUGAAACGUCAGAUUUGAUGUGAGCAUGUCACUACUGUUUUUUCUCUCAUUUUGUCUUUACUUAUUAUUUGAUAAAACCUAUUUUAUCCUUUAACCAUACCUUACUAUAGUAGCUCUACUGUAUCCCCUGCUUUUCUAGUAGGUUAAUGUUGAUGUGUGACAUUAUGUAAUGAUGGAAAACAAUACAAAAUCUAUCCAAAUGUUGUAUUCAUUAAAACAAUAUAGUAAAAUACAAUAUGAUACAUGAUGAAACAAUACUUAACAACCAUCCAAACAAGUAUAGUCUAAUACAAGGUUUAAUUUAUGGUAAACCUUACACAGCAUAUAUUGGUUUCCAGCAUCAAAAAUUGUAUAUUAAUAUUGCCAUAACUUACAUAUGUGAAUAGAAAGUGGAAUAACAGUGUGUAGUGCACCUGCAGCACUACUGGAGAACCCCACUCUCAAUUUUCCUUUUUACUUACGAUGUGUUUAUAAUAAAGUGCUCAUCUUUAUUUACCAAAAGUCACGAAGAUUAAUUUUCAUCAAGUUCACAUAAGGAAGACUUUCCCCUCCUCAAUCAUUCUCCUUGUUCACAUAUUUCUUUGUUAGUGCACUUUUAUUAGUUCUAAAACAAAGUUCUUCAGCGAGCCUAUCGAAACAACACAUACAAAUUUGAAAAAUUAUAGAAAAAAUCGAAACUUGCAGCUGCAAAAUUAGAUUAUUGGUGUGUUGUCUUUAAAAUGGUAAGAGAUGUGGCAGUAGACAAAAGACAAUCUCUUAUUCGCUAUGCUAAGAAGCUGAUAUAUGAUAUACUUAACCAAUUGAAUUAGCAUUGAACCUUCAUUCUCUGAAUCAAUUCAAAGUCUCAGUACAAGCAAUGCAAACAGCUAUUUUGUCAUAUACCUUUUAUUCAAAUAAUUCAAUUGUCAAUCUUAAUUUAAAACACAGGUCUAACUGCCGGAAAGUAUUAAAAUACAUUACCUUCUCUUUCAACAGCUGUUCAUUCUCCUCCUCUAAUCUAACUGCUAUUGACUCAAGUUCCACUUGAUAAGCCUAUGCCCAUAAACAAAAAUCUAAAUUCAGUUCACACAAUCAAAAAGCUAAAAUAGAUUGAAAGGCUAAUAGUGAUCACUACUAUCAGCAAAGAAUACUUUUUACCUGUUUCCGUUCUCUAGACCGGGCAGCUGAUUCUCUGUUUUUAAUCAUCCUACGUUGCCUCUGCAGAGCCGCCUUAUCUAAAGGUUCCAAAAUGGCUUUCCUCUUCCCUCUUCCACCUCCAAUCACAUCUAUUCCAUUUCCAUAUCCUUGCACGCUCUGCUGCGGCAUGGCCAUGUAUGGGGAAUCGAAUGCAAAAAUUCCACCACUCAACCUCUCAGUUCCUAGUUCAACCUUCACCUCACCUUGCACUGGCCCCUCCCCAGCCAGUGCCUCCUCCUCAACUGCUCCAGCUUUCACCAAAAAAUCCUCCAACGUCAUGAUUUCAUCCACUGCCUCCUCCUUACAUCCCGCAACUGCGGCCCUUCUCUGCUCCCUCUUCCCCUCCACAAUUUCCCUCCACACAUCAUCCACCGUCCUCCUAACCAAAGGUAUCCCACUAACCGUCGCUGUCUCGGAAUCACUGAUCGGCGUUAUCGCUCCAGCAGCAUCAAGUAACGUAAUAUUCGCAUUCAACAAAGUAUUAGCCUCCGUCCCCUGACCUUCCCCAUACACAUUCCGUAAAAAUCCAUCAACCGUCAUGGAAGUCGCCUCCAAAUUACUACUAUUAUUACUCCCGUUAUUAGAAUACUGCUGAUUCAGCAAAUCAUUCGGCAUCGUAGAGGAUGAAGACGACGAAGCCGCCGACGAUUUCCUUCGAUCGGAAUUCCGCGAGGCCGAUGAAGCCAUCAGCUUAGUUGACGCCAUUUUCCGGCGGGGCAAAAUCGUAAAACUCUUCUUCUUAGAUCAAAUCCUCAAGUGUGUAUAUACAUAGAGGUUUGUGUAAGUGAUGAUUGUGUUGUGUAAUGUGCGAUGGGGAGAAGAGAAAUGCCUAGGGUUUCGAAUAAUUUGGGGGUUUUGGGGAUUUGAGGGAGAAAAGUGGGAUUUUCAAAAAUGGAGUUCCAGAAUUGGCAAAGAGAGAUACUAGAGAAGAAGAGGGUUCUGUUGUCCCUUUUUUUUUGCCUAAAUUAGAAAAACGAGGCAACAGUUUUUUUUCAUUCUCAAACGUCGUUUUGAAUGUACAUUCAUGUCGUCUUGUUAAAUCAAAUUCUCAAAAUAAAAUUCACAUUAACUAUUUAAAUGAAAUAUUUUUUUAUUUUCUAAAACUAUAUAUCAAAAAAUUUUAUUUUAAAAUUUUAGUAUUUAAAUAAAUUGAGUGAUUUUCACAUAUGAUUUUGGAGUUUGAAGUUGAUGAAAGUUGAGUACAUGACUUGAAAAUGAUAACUCUCAUUCUUUUCUUAUUAUUGGUGAAUGUUUUCACGUGAUCUUAAUUCUAACACUUAUAUUUAGGAGUGUAUCUACAAAAUUAUCAUGGCCUCAUGGGGCUCAUACGAACCAUCUCGAUAAAAAACUUUAAUGAUAUAUAUUGAAUAGAUUUUCUAUAUUUUUGUAUGGUUAUUAAUUUUUAAUUAAAGAAAAAAGAUAACCUAAUGGUACUAAAUGGUCCAAUAUGGACCACGAAUAAAAAAAGUAUUAAAUAUUUUCAUAAGUUUGACACGUUAUGUCAUAUACUUUUUCGUUGAAGGUUAGAUUUUGAAAGAUGAAAAAGAAGUGCAAGAAAUGCAUAUACUAAUGUAUUUUUAAUAAAAAAUCAAAACAACAAUAAGGUUAUUUUAAAAGAACAUGAUUAGAAAUAAGGAGAAGAAUCUCCAUAAUCAAUUGUAGCGGUCUUAAUUUUUGAUAAUUUAUUAGAUAAAACCUCAUUAAAUUAAUAUAGGUUUGGCAAUGAAAUAUUAUAAUGUUGUAAAGCUAUUAUUUAAGACACAAAUUAAUAUUUAUUAAUUUAAAGAGUGUUUUGAUAUCGUAAAAUUCAGAAAAGUUGAAUGCAUUCACUUAUGAAAAUAUCGUUUAUGAACUUGAGAUCAUGAUCCAUGAUUAAUUAUCUUAGUUACCACAACAAAACGAACGUUAAUAGCAUAUUGGAUGGGUGAAAUGAUACAUGUUAAUAGGUCCAAAUCUUAGAAGAAAUUGUGAAUAUCAUUGAAAAAAAAUAAUAGUGAUGAUAUAGUUGAAGUUGAUACAAUGUCUUAGGAAUCAAUUACGCGUAAGGAAGUACUUAUCGCAUCUAAAAAUAUGUCACAAUUUUAUAGUGCAGUUUAAAAGAGGAAAAAUUGUAUAUAGUGACAAAUUAUUAAUUCAAAUCAAAUGUUAUAAUCACACUUUGAUUUAAUUGUGUCCUGUAGCAAACUGUUUGUCAAUCGGCUCUCUCCCUCAAACUUUCGCUCGCAACUCUUUAUCUUUCGUUCGUCCCCCAUUAUCGCUCGCCUCCCUCACUUUAUACAAUCAUAAAUGUAUAAAUUGUGUUUCUGUUUGUAUAAAGCGAGAAAAAAUCGUAUAAACACAUGUAAAUACAUAUAUCUUCGUCCGAUACACUUAUAAUCACACAAUACAAAUAUUCCACUGCCAGUUCUCUUUUUUCUUUCUAUUCUUCUCGCUUUAUACAAACACAGAUUAUAUAAAAUAUAAAGUAUAAUUUUUGUUUAUAUAAAACGAAGAGAGAAAGAGUGAUAUUUGAUAUACAAACGUUUUAUUUUAAUUCAAUUGUAUACAAAUUCAAAUUUUAUACAUAUAUAUAAAUACAUAAAAUUGAAUUGACAGUCUAUCAACGAUUUAUACAAACGAUAGGCUGCCAAAAAUUUCGUAGCUAAGCAAACAUGCAAUGGUUAAGAUAUUUUGCAUCUUUAUUAUUGAUGAACUGGUUGAACUAAUCAGUCGUUACUCUGAAUUCCAUUUGUUAUCGUUAUUUUCAAGUUAUUACAAAGUCAUGUUGUUUUCUUUCUAAGUUUUUAUAUUCGGUCACGCUCAAGCUAGCAAAUUGAUAUUAUUAUUAUUAUUAGGGAAAAUGCACAAGUACCCCCUCAACCUAUGCCCGAAAUUCCAGAGACACUUAUGCUAUACUAAGGUCCUAUUACCCCCUGAACUUAUUUUAUAUGUAAUUUUCUACCCUUUUUAGCCUACGUGCCACUAAUUUGAAAAAAAAGUCAACCAUUGUUGAGCCCACAAGAUAGUGUCACGUAGGCUAAAAAGGGGUAAAAAAUUAUUAAUAAAUAAGUUCAGGGGUAAUAGGACCUUAGUAUAGUAUAAGUGUAUGUCUGAAAUUUCGAGCAUAGGUUGAGGGGGUACUUGGGCAUUAUCUCUUAUUAUUAUUAUUAUUAUUUUUAUGGUCCCGAAAGAAAAACAGUAGGAUUCCACUAAUUAAUAUUAUAAUAAAUAUAUAUACAGGCCAUACAGUAGUAGAAUUAUCUUUUUGAUAGUAAUUGGAAUCCAACUUUGUUUUGACCGCAUUUCUUUUUAUCCUUAGAGGUCAAAACCAUUUCCACCCACUUUAUAUAUAGCUUUUCUUCAAGUGCUUCUUUUCCAAGUUGUUUGUUACGAUGCUAUGAGGUUCAAUCAAAUUUAAUAUUUUAAUAUUAUAUUUCAUUUUUAUUUUAAAGUUCAAAUCGUGAUUUUGUAGCAUAAUAUCUCACUUUCGUGCAAGUUUAAUAACCCUAGCUAUCACAAGCUCCUAACAAAAUUGAAAUUGUGAGAACUUAUUUAUUAAGAACAUAUACUCUUCAUACUUCAUAGAGUAGAUAUUAAAGAAAGAACACCAACUAGUCAAAUAGAAACAACUAUUCCUCAUCAUGAACAAGGUAGGGUUUCCAUAAAAUAUGUACACUUGCAUAUAGUGAAGUGGCUUCCAUAUUAUGUCCCAUUCCCUAUAGGUAUAGCUACAAAGUAAAUAUUAUAUAAGUAUCUUGUAGCUAGUAGUCCACAUGAAGAAGAGCAAUGCAUCUAGUCAUGAAAACACAACAAUAACUUCAUUAAUCAACUAAUGCAUCACAUGGCUGGAGUCCAAAUUAAAUAAUUUAGUGAAACAUUUUGUUUUUCAGAGUCAAACAGUACCGUCUAGAAUUGAUCGAAAAUUUGCACAUAAAAUUUUUAAUUUUUUUAAAAAUAAAAUUUAUAUAUUUAUAAACUACGUAAAAAAAGUAUUAUAAGUCACAAUAAUUUAUCACAACUCAAAAUAUUUAAAAAAUUUACCGUCAAAAAUAAAUUUAUUUAAAUCUUGAAAUCUGAAAUGUGUUACGAGAGAGUACUGUAUAUUCUAGCUAGCCCUACACAAUUGACGAUAUAAUUGUACUAAUUCUUACUCUAUCCCCAUUCUCCACAAGUCUUCAAACUUUUUUAUUUCUUUGUUAAGAGUCGGUUAAUGUUAUGUGACUUAAGCUCAGUCCAUUGCAUGUAUACAUGACUAGUGACAACAUAACACCAAUUAUAUGUAUCCUCAUAAGAACUUGGCAUGUACUGUCUCAUUUGGUAGCUUUACUCUUUGCAACUCCCAAUUGCAUCUAGUGUUUGUACCUGCAAAGUUGAUAAAUAUACUCCCAUAAGUUCAUGAACUAUAUGGAGUAGUACUAUUUUUGCUCUAGAACUCACAUCAUCAGUCAAAGUAUAUACUAAUAAGUGAUGUUUUUACCUUCUUAUUUUAAUUCUAAAUGAAUGGUAUUUCACAUCAAGAAAAUACUAUUUAUAUUGUUCUUUUCCAAAUUUAUUCAUAUUAUAUAUACAAUUGUAAUGUUCGAACAAAUUUACGCUCACUUUAAUUAAUUUUAUAAGAAACAUUUUACCUUUUAUCAACAAUAAAUUACUUUGUCCAUCAAAAUUAAAGAGAAAUCACCUAGUGUUACUGGAAUUUAAACCUAACUCCUCGCGUUCUCACCCACUAAUCAUUAUGGCUCAAAUCGACCCUUUGGUGCAUCACCCUUUUUAAAUGAGUGGAUUUUUAUGUAAUCAAGAAAUUAUCUAUACGACUCCCUCAUUACAUAUUUUCUUGGCCCUUGUUGAUCCAAUACACCCCUUUAGAAAAUUCAAAUUAGAUAAAUAUUUUACUAAACUAAUUUUAUUAACGAUACUUUAGAACACUAAACUUAAAUACUAAACUAACUUUAUUAAAAAAAAAAAAAUCUUUCGAAAAAUGAUGAGUUUUUCUUUGGUUUCUUUGUUGGUGUCCAUAGCUCAUACUGAAGUAUAGACUAAAUUAAAUCUAAUGCACUGUAGGACCUAUUCAGAAGUGAAGCUUUCAAUAAUAUUUUCUUCAUAUUAAGAUUUGAAUUUAAAACCUCUAGUUAUGAGUGGAACAAUUUUACCAUUACAUCACAAUCAUAUUUGUGAAAAAUAAAAGAGAUUUAUUGAAAGGAUACGAUGAACUAAAUUAAAAGAGUCAAAAUGCAAUAAUUAUGCUUUUUAUGAAAUAAAUGGCACUACUUACCACUUGCAGUCUAUAUAGUAGGGGGUAUUAAUUGUCUACCAGUAUUUGCUGUUAACAACCACUGAGUUUUUGGGUUUGCCUACGUCUUCAAGGUCCACCUCUCUACUCCUUCCUAUUUUGGCUUUUAACAUCAUAAAAGGUAACCACUAUUUUAGACCAAAUAUGCCAUAUUUAGAAACUUUAUUUCUUCACUUUUUUUUUUUGGCUAUUCUAGAAAAAGAUAAACUAAAUGCAACAAUAAUAAAUACUUCUUCCAUUCGGAAUUGUUUGUCAUAUUACGUUUAUUAAAGUCAUUUUUGACUAAUUUUCAAAUGUAAAUUGAAUCACAUUAAUUCGAUAUUUUAAACAAAAAGAUAGAUAUUUUAAAAUUAUAUGAAAAAUUACAAUAUUUUGCAUAUUGAUGAUGAAAAAAUACAUCUUAAAAUGUUAAUCAAAGUUUUUAUAGUUUGACUCUAAAAAUAGAAAUUAUGACAAACAAUAUCGAACAAAGGAAAUAAAUAAUUAAUCACAAUUGUCGUUUAUUAAAAAAUAAUAAAUAAAAAUAUACCAUAAUGUUCUUCUAGGUAAUCCUCACGUAGCCGCUUUGACGAUGGACUAAUGUUGUUCCUCUUCUCGACGCUAUGCUAUUUUCAUUUAACGAUUAAUAUUUACGAAACUUAAAAGUAUAUAAUAAAUUAGAAUUAAAAAUAAAUAUUAUGUUUCAAAUUAUAAAUACCUUAUGAUCGCAAUAAGAUGAUGAAUCAUUUGAAAUAUUCGCUUCAUCUUUAAAAGUUCAAAUAAAAGUUAAUGGUGAUUUUUGAGAUCAUACAAAAUAAAAAAUUCAUCACCAAGUGAUGGAAAAUUAAGAUGUUGUUUAAUAUUAUGAUUAUGUACCUGUGUCUUCCAUUAGUGUAUUUAAUCUCACCCAUUCAUCAACAAUAUCUUUCCAUCUCCUAUAAAAUUACCCAAAAAAUGAUUCUAUAUUUAACUUAAAUGAAUAUAUAUAAAUAAAGUAACUAAUUAUACAGAAGAAAAUAAAAUUAUUAGUGUUAAGAAGAAGGUUAAGGAAAACCUGAUGAGUAGUUUAACAAGUCUUCUUACAUCAUUUGAUGAAUGCUUUCGCAGCUUGUUUACAUGCCUUCCAAUAUUUGUUUUCUUCAAAAGCAAUAAAAAUAUAAAAUCAUAACAGAAAAUAAAUUUAAAAGGAUAAUGCUAAAUUGUCCUAAAUUUUCUAAAAAGUUAAUAUCCUUUUAUUUUAAAAUAAAUUAAUUUAAUUUAUUUUUUCAUUUUUAAUUAAAAAGUAUUAAAGUUAACAAACAUAAUUUUAAAUAUCAUUCUGGCCAAAUAAUUAUUCUAUAAUAAAAUCAUGAUUGUUAAUUAAAUUACCUCAAGAACCUUGAAAUUAAUGUCCAUUUCAGCAAGACUUUGAAGCUGAUCAACCAAGCAUUUCUCAGACUGAAAUUUCCAAAAGAAUUUUUAAUCUUAGCAAAAAGUAAAUAAAAUUCGUGAAAUUAGAUAUUAGGCCUAAUUCAUUCUUAAAAAUUAGUCAUGAUUUUAUUAUAUUCAACAAAAUGGUUCAACAAAACCCAAAGUAGUAUAAAGAAACCUGAUUUGGGAUUUCAAAAUGGUUCUUGAUUCUGAGGAUUUUGCUGAUCUCUAAAUCUUCUUCAUUACUAUUUUCCUCUGUUUUUAACUUGUCAUCAUCGAUAUUUCUCUCAAUUCUUUUCAUGAUUUCAUAAUUUCCAUCAGAAUUAGAAUUGUUAGAAAGCAGAGGAACAUAGAGUUUCUCAACAAUGGCGUCUCUUCGACUGCGAAGCUCGUUUCCAUGAUCAAGAAUGGCUACAGAAAUUGCUGUGUCAAUUAAACCCCACAAGUCCACACUUGAAUUCUUUAAGAUUAGACGUAAUUCAUCCAAUUCCAUGUUGUUGUUGUUUCUUAAAUUAUAAGAAAAAAAGAUGUGUUCACUAAGAAACAGAGCAUAAGGAAAAGAGAGAAGGAGGAGUUAGGGACAGAGUGAAAUGGGGACAUAUUAAUGUGAAUAAGUUUAAAAGGCUUUUUGUAGCUUUGGAACACAUUCUAUGUUUUUGUUAUGUCAUGAAUCAACUACUACAGUGUUUUCUUUGCUUAGUUUCUACUACUAUACUAAGAGGUCUACACUAUAAUAAAUAAUAAAUAGUGUCUUCGUUUCAAAAGGGAUAGUUUAGUUUAACUUGGUACGAAGUUUAAGAAAAGAAAUAAGAUUUUUUAAUCUUGUGAUUCUAAAUUAAAAUUAUGUCAAAUAUAUCAAAAUGUCCUUUAAUCUUGUGGUCUUAAAUAUGUCAUGUGAAAAGUUAAAGUUAAAGUAUUACCAAAAAAGAAAAGAGGUCAUUCUUUUUUAAACGAAAAGAAUAAUUAUUUGUAUUAUGUGUCUGUAUCUGUAUCAAAUCGAUAAAUGCAUUAUUCGUGUUUCAUAUAUAUAUUUCUAUAUGUAUAUCAAAUCAAUAAAUCAUGAUCCGUUUAUAUAUAUAUAUAUAUAAUUUUUAAAAACUUAUUUAUAAUUAAUUAACUUGCAUUUUCACGAACGCUUAAUUAUGAUAAAUUGAACAUAAUUUGAUGUGAAUGUUCGAUGGGACUUAGUAAUUCUAUAAAUAUAAGGUAAUAUUUACUUAUUCUAAUAUGCAAUGUCUUAUUUUCAAUAUUAAAAACUUCUCCUUUUUAUCAAAAGUUAGUUAUAAAAUGUUUGUAUAACUUCAAUCUAUACUUAUAUUAGUACACUACUAUUAAAAAAUAGCUAUAAACAAAUUAUGUAGCUAAAUUGGAAUGUUCAUUGUUAAUUCUAUAGAGAGAUGGAUCAAUGAUAUAUUAUAAUGAAUUAAUGACAAAGUUCAUUGCAAAUUUUAAUUUUUGUAAUGCACCGAUAACUUUAUUCUUCUGAAUAAUCACUACAAGUUAAUCAUCUCAUUUCAGUUGUUUCAGCAAUAUUCUUUAGUAUCUUUUCGCAGUGAAUUUUUUAGUGACUUGUCUACAGUAGCGGAAUAGUUUUUUUCUUUUAUAAUAGGCAAAAUGGUCUAGUGAAUUUUUAUACUUGUAUUUGUUUGUAUUAUAGACCCUGUACUUAUCGUUUUGUCAUCUAUACCCCUAAAUUCAUCUAAACACAAUUUUUUAUGUGAUAUAAUGCGUGUUGCACAAACAUAAACACGUUAAUAAAAAAAUUAAAAAAUAAUUCACAUAUAAAUAUUAAUAUGAAAAGAACAUUAAAAUUUAAAAGAUAAAUAAAUGAAAAGAAUAAAAGGAGGGGGGGGGGGGGAAGAGGAGUCAUCUUCUUCAAAUCCAUCCCUACCCCCCCCCCUCCACCCAGAUUGAUGCCUCCACCCCUACCGAAUUAUACCUAUUCCUCUGAUUUCCUUCUUUUUUUGGAUUCAUCCACCAUUUUCCUUGU
rnacentral:lncRNA from 1 species